rnacentral:lncRNA from 1 species
GUAAUUAUUGUAUUUAUUAACUUAUAUAGCAACUUUCGAAUCUCUUAAAAUUUUAAAUGAAAAUUAAAGAGAAAAAGAUCAGUAAAUCAAGUAAUCUUCACCCAGUUAAUCAAGUGAUAUUGUUGAAGGCAAUUAUAUAAAUUCCAAGUAUAUACAUUUUCCUAGCAAAUCUGAAUUUGUUUUUCCAACCCAAAGUGACAAUAAAAUGCGAAAAUAGAAGAUGAAAUCUAAAGAGAGGCUGCUGGUUAAGCUUAAAUCGCAGGAGCUCCGACCGGAUUGAUAUUUCUGCAACGGACAUAGCUCAGAAACUGGCCGGGAAGUUCUUCUAGAAGUGCUUGCACCACCGACACUUGUCCACCUGCACCCACCAAACUCAAUUCAACACAUACGACGACAAACAACAUGCAAAUCAUUACGUAAGCAUAUGAAUAAAUCAAAAUUACUCACUGUGGACUUCUUUCAUAGGAACGAACUGAACAAUGUCCCUUGUAGCCACCCGACCGGUAGAACUCUCUAACCGACGACCUUUAUCAGCAUCAAGAAUCUGAAACGUAUCACACAAGGCAACGUCAUAUUUCAGUAGAACAUCAAACCAUAGAACAAAGAUAAAAGUUUUUAACUAAAUAAAACAAACAAAUCUACCUCCAUUUGUGUGAAGUCUGUGUUUCCCACACCAACGAUAAGGACUGACAAAGGUAGAUCAGAAGCUCUCACCAAUGCAUCUAUUGUACCAGCCAUGUCUGUCAAGACUCCAUCCUGUUUCAAGCAACCAAUCAUUUUUGAUACGAUCCAAAAGUUUUUAUCUCAAAGUAAUCAUGUAAAAAUGUUUUCAGGCUCUUACCGUAAUGAUUAGGAGAACAAAGUACUUGGGACUGUUUUGUGAGAGUGACUGUGAAGCGGUGUGAGCAGCCUUGUCGACCACGUGGCUGAACAGAGUUGGUCCCGCUAGAGCAACAUUUGCAAGGGCACUUGAAUAAGCUGACAUGAUUCCUUCAACUCCAACCACCUGUGAUGGAAUAAAAAAUACAAAGCUCAGUGACAUUUUUACAAUAUAGUUUCGAGAAUGCAAUUUAUUAGCAGCAUUCCCUUCUUAUCAAUUUUGUAAUAAUAAACACCAUCCCGAAUAUAAUUAGUUCUUGUCUCGUAAGUUACCUCAUCGCCAUAUGAAGCUCCAUUCAAGUUAAAAGCAUGUGACACGUGACCAUCCGCUGUUCUUCCUCCAAAACCCCAAGCGGGAAAACGCCUAUCGGAAUCAUAAAACUGGAUGACCUCUCCUACUUCCAUUAUAGCCUGCGGUGGAUCGAAGAAAUCCCAUAGAGAGAGAGAGAAACAUUAAUGAGAUAUUACUACAUCGAAAGCAGCAACUUGAUGGUCUUAGUACUCAAAUAAACAUAGACUAACAUAAAUGUGGUUCCGAGAAAUUGUACCUUCUGAUAAGAGUUUAAUCUGCCUGAUGGAUCAUUGUAGUGCAAAGAACUUGGAGUACGGGGAUCACCAUUUGAAGCUGUACGACAGAUCUUCAAAUAUUAAAACACAAGGUUUUUCCUAAGAUGAUAAGAACUACAUAUAAAUAAGAAGAAGGUGCAUACCAGUGAAGUCAACUGCAACCAUGAAAUUAAGUUCAAAUCCGCUGGAGAUGUAGUCAAGAAAGCUGUACUGAAUUUUCUCCACAAAACGAUCCACAAUGAGCUGUCCUUUCAGAACCUACAGAAUCACAACAGUUUUUUUUAAGGAAAAUUGAUGUAAAUAACUGCUUUUAAGAUAUUACAUAAAAUGAUACGAGUAACGCACCUUGUUGCGACCGUGACUUGUAGAUGGAUACACAAAGUUUAUAGCCUCUCUUUGUUGACAAAGUCUCUCUAAUUCAGCUACUGAUUUCUCUGUCCUCCUGCAAAGAUCAGUACAUUUGUCAAGUAACAAUAAAUCUCUAUAUGAUGACUCUGUAGAAGAGAAGAAGGUUGAAGCUUACCCAAUAAGCUCAUGAUUCCCACUGGUAUUGAAAUCUAAACACUCGAUAAGCAAUGGGGUAUCCUGCGUAGAUAAAAUUAAAAAAAUUAACAUAAUGAUUAUCCAAAAAAUAUGUCUGAAACACAAUUAAGACUAUUAGCUUACUUUGCUUCCAAAUUGUUGCAUAGUCAAGCAUACAGGCUUCCAAAUUGGGUUGAGGUUGUUGUCAACCACCUCAGUCCGACAUACGGGAACUACUAUACUGUUCUCAACCAACCUUGAGAUUCUUAGAAACGGAUCCUGGAAAGAGGAAAUAAAACAAACUUAGUAUCGUAAUCGAACAAUACAAGCUAGAAUGUUAUAGGUUUGCACUUACACUCUUGGAGAACAAGUCCUUGUUAUCCAAAUUGACAGAGCGAAGAUUCAUCUCGACGACGGUUUUGGAAGCAACGGUCUCUUCGGCUUGGACAGAGAGUGUUCCCAACUUUCUACUCACACCAGCUCCGAAAUCACCGUGAAGGUUUAAUGUCAUGGAACGGUUGGGUUUAGUCAUAACCUGGUGAUGAGAAAAAGAAUAGAAUCAGACAAAAAAAUAUGAAAUGAUGUACACAUAAAGACAGUACCGGAAGUGAAUGACCAAACAACAACAAAACUCCAAUCAUUAAAUUGAUUUACCUCGGAGAGAACACAUGUCGCUUCUCCCAAGUAAUCCUGCUCCUUCAGCUUUAAGGUCUGCAGAGGUUUAAAAUAUGUUGAUACAAUAAUUGAGGUGUAACGUUCAUAAUCAAAAGGCAAUUGAUGAACUCUAUUACCUUCACUGGCACAUUGUGAUAUCUGGUAUCGACAUCAAACACGUGAAAGCUGAAAAGAAAAAAGAUAUAUGUAAGUUGUUAGACUUCCAGUGGUUAAACCAUGUGAGUAAAUGAUCAUACAACAAUUGUUCAGAGUAGCUUACACUAAUGUCUGAACAGUUUCGAACUGGAAAGAGACGGUAAUCUUCUCAAUCCAGUUUGGAUUCAAGCUAUUGAGUAUGACUUCAGUGCGGCCAAUUUCCUCAAGCUUCCCAUCCUUCUUCCUCAAAUACAUGACAGCCAUUGGGUCACUCUACAACAAAGAGAAAUCUCAUGAGAUACAAAAACCACUUCUUAAAUGCUUAAAGAAGCGCAUGGAAACGUGUGGAAACUCCAGUGCAUGGAGAGAGAUUCUGUAUCAAAAAAAAUGAUUAAUAAAUGGUCAGGGAGCAUAUAUACCUUUGAUGUGAUGUCACGGUCAAUCAAGUUUGAAGCCGACAAAGACAACUGCAAAUAGCAUAGUGUUAAAACACAACUCGAAAGGUACCAAAGGAAUGAAUAAUGCACCAUGAAUACGAAGAUGCAAUAAGCAAAAUAUCAUAUCUGCUAGACAAAAUAUACAAGUAAAUGGCAUAUUGCAUCAUUCAUUGCAAAAAACCAUCAAGAAGAGACAACAACAAGAACCAAUCUGAAAGGACAAGGGUGGUGCAGCAAAUUGAUGAUUUUCUUUUUCCUAUUAGAUAUUAAAUGGUUUGCAGACUAGUAAAAGACUUAUUGUGUUCUGUUUCAUUGCAAUUUACCAACAGAGAUCGAAAAAUACACAUACUUAAAAGUCACAGCAGCGUGUGUGUGGGUGGGUACUUUUCUAAGAAAACCAAAUGAUAAGUAACAUGAGUUUCUACGAACAAACAAUAAGCCCAUGUUAUACUCUGCUCCGCAUAAUAAUAUUCUAUAAUCUAACCCCACCACCAUAAGAGAGAGAGACAAGAGUAAAAAACACAACAGAGAAAACACAUGGACAAAGACUAAAGACUCAAGACAAGAAGUCAAUGGUUGGCUCCAUUAUAAAAAUACAAGACAUCAAGUUAGAAUAUCUUAUCCACAAUCCACUACUACUGUAUAAAAAACGAGACCCCUAAAGCAAAAAAAACACAGAUUCAAAGUGAGGAUUUUUUUUCUUUCAAUUUAGCAAUAUUCUAAUCACAAUUAGCAAACUUGGUUUGACUUUGUACAAGAGUGAACAAUUUAUAAAUUACACUAGACAUGAGUAAGAGACAAGACACAAUAAAAAAAACCCCUAAGAGAUUGAUAACGAUACCUCAAUCUGUGAGAAGAGAGGAUAUUGACCACGAGAUCUGAAGAAGAAAUCGACGGCGUCGUUUUGCGCCGCAUUGUUUGUGGUGGUCGACGUGGGCCUCUGCUGGACCCCUCCGAUGGCUUGUUUGCCCCCGGCCACAUCUCCAGUUAAACAGUUCCCCAUUCUCCUUUAGAUGAUGAUUAACCCUAGCAGAUUCGACUUCAAAAUUAACCCUAGAAUCCCAAUUUCAAAAUUCAGCCGAUUAUUAUCUAAUCAAUGCACUUCUUCCUUACUUAUAUAGAGAUGUAUACGUUUUUUGUCCAAAAAAAAAAAGAGAUGUAUACGUUUACGCGUUACAGACUUUAAUAGUGCCAGAUAUUUUAUUCAAUUUAAAAGACGAGUAGAUAAACUCAAGAAAUUAACAACAAAAAGUUUUAAAAAAGAGAGAAAAUUUCAGGAAAUUUACCAAAAAGAAUUUGUUUGGACUUUGUUUUGACUAAGCACGGGCAUUCGGAGUCUCAAUUGGGUUUCGAUUUUAUCCAAUCAGAUCUCGAUUUUUCGGAUUUAUCAAAAUCAGCCGCAUUCGGAUUAUAUGAAAUUUUGGUUCGGGUUCGGUUCGGAUUCUAUCGGAUUCAGAUCUAGGUUACUAAAUCUUCAAAGAACCGGUACAAUCCGAUAUACUUUCGGAUUCAGAGCCCAAUCAGUUCUUCAGUUUAAAUGUACAUGAUUUAUAUCUAUUUUGUAACAAAAACAUAAGUAACAGAGAAAAAGACUAGGAUAACACCAAACCAAGUUUUUGUUCCCAAAGUAGCACUCAAGACUCAAAGUCACAAAAAUAGGUUUCAUUAAAGAGGUAAAUAUACACUUAUACCCUUUGGGUUAAUUAAUCCAAACCUUAGGGUUUAGAGUUAAGGGGUGGGGUUUUGGAAUUAGGGCUUAAAAUUUUAUAAAAAAUAAAUACUAAAAUAAAAGAUAAAAAAAUAUUAAACAAAAAGUAUUUUUAAAUUAUAAAAAGAAAAUUAAAAAAAAAUAAAAAAAAAUUCGAAAAAAAAAAUUUCAAAAAAAAAUUAUAAAAAUUUCGGAUCUGAAAACAUAUAGAAAAAAAGACUAGGAUAUCACCAAACCAAGUUUUUGUUCCCAAAGUAGCACUCAAGGCUCAAAGUCACAAAAAUAGGUUUCAUUAAAGAGGUAAAUAUACACUUAUACCCUUUGGGUUAAUUAAUCCAAACCUUAGGGUUUAGAGUUAAGGGGUGGGGUUUUGGAAUUAAGGUUUAAAAUUUUAUAAAAAAUAAAUACUAAAAUAAAAAAUAAAAAUUUUAAAAACAGUUUCAAAAAGUAUUUUUAAAUUAUAAAAAGAAAAUUUGAAAAAAAAAAAAAAAAAAUUUCGAAAAAAAAAUUUCAAAAAAAAAAUUAUAAAAAUUUUGAAUCUGAAAACAUAUAAUAUGAAACUAUAUAUAUAUAUUUUUUUUUAUUUUUUUAUUUUUUUUUGUUUGUUUAUUUAAUUUUAAACCAAGGGUACUAAGGAUAUUUUACCCUUUAAUGAAUGUCAUUUUUGUGACUUUCUCCUUCUAGUGCUAUUUUUGAGACAUAAACUUCAAAAGGUGCUAUUAUUGACAAUUGCCCAAACAUAUAAUCUGAAACUAUAAAAAAAAAUUCAUUUUUUCAAUUUUUAUUUUAUUUAUUUUUAUUUAUUUUGUUUGUUUAUUUAAUUUUAAUCCAAGUUUAGGGAUAUUUUACCCUUUAAUGAAUGUCAUUUUUGUGACUUUCUCCUUCUAGUGUCAUUUUUGAGACAUAAACUUCAAAAUGUGCUAUUGUUGACAAUUGCCCUAAGUAAAAUCGGUUAUUGGCUCUAAAAUACUUGAUUUGUACCUAUUUUGUAACCAAAACAUAAGUAAAAUUGAUUCGAAAAUAAAAAAAAGGAACAUUCAAACGUGAUCAUUCAAAAUCAAACGAAAAGUAAUAUAGUUAUUGAUAGAAACGAAAAACAUUAUUGAAUGAAAAAAAUCAAAAUCUAAAAAUUUCGAGUUUUAACCGCCACCUUCAACCAUCAACCCUUAUGUAAUAUAUAAUUAUUUUAAAUGUUCGGUAUAUUUUGGAUAUAUAUUAGGAAUUGAGAUCAAAUAUUUGGUACAAAUUAUUUUCUGGGAUUUUGAAUGUUCUGGAUUAUAUCAGAUAUUCAUCUAGGUUCGAAUUCGGUUGGGAUAAUACCCAUAACCUCGAAUAUAAUAAAAUAAGAUCUAUUUGGUAUUUAUGUCAGAUUUGGAUCGGUUCACUUUUUUUUUUUCGGAUCGGGCCAGAGAGGGACUUCCCAGAAAAGGAAACUUUUUUUUAUUGGUAGUUUUUUAAUGGUAGUUGCUAAAAAGGGAAACGCGGAUUCAAUUUCGAGUUGGUCUAUACCAGAAAAGUUGGUCUUCAUAAGAACUCUUAUUUCAUUACGCUACUACGGCUAUAAUUUGAAACGAAAUUGUCAAGAAAUGAACAAUGACUCGCUUGCGUCUACAUGACUCAAUCAUUACGUUUCGUAAUCUAAUCCAGAUAGAUUUUGACAUCGAUCCCGUUAUCAAUAAGAGACUGGACAACAGCUCUGAUCUUCCCUUCGAACUUGUCUUGGUCUCUUGGCGUGUAAGAAGCUGUGUACACAUCAGCCUCUUUCGCGCGUUCGGACAAGAUCCUCCCUAUGGACAUGCACGCUGGGAUAUCGCAUCUCGAUCUCAACACCGCUUUCACGUCUUUUGAGUUCGUCCCCGCGACCGCGACUUGCUUGCACGUGACGCGGUGCGUGAGGGAUGCUGAGACGAAGCGUUUUGAGAUGAAGACGUCGAGCGUGAAGGGCUCCAUGUACGCGACGGUGCGUUGCUUGAAGGAGACGUGUUUGUCUGGGUUUUUCGAUUUUUUCUCCUUUUGGUAUGUGUAGGGUCGGCUUGUGUCGUCGUCCACGUAGUCUUCUACACCAAAGAAGCUUCUCGGAGCAAGAACCGUCUGUCAAAAAAUGGAAAAAAAAAACUUUAAUGGAGACUCAAUAUUAACAAAUAUUCAAAUCACCAGCUGAAACUUAGCGACUAAAUAAAAUUUCAUUAAAAUCCAUUUAGCCAUUAGCCUAAAUUGGUUUAUAUAUUUUGAUUGAUUUAGAAAUCCAUAUAGUAUUUAUAAAUCCAAAUAAAAUAUACAAAUCCGGAGUUUUUCCCUCGGAUUUGAGUCUUUGUAUUUUUAACAGAAAAAUCCAAGCAAAUCCAUUCAAAUCUAUUAUAAAAUCAAAUAUAUUAGUAAAUCCGUGCGAUUGAAUAACACUUGAUUUGAUAUAGAAUUUAUGAAUCAUUAAACCAAUAACACAUGAUUUUAAUACAGAUUUGAAAAUCAUAGAACCAAUAACACUAGAUUUAGUUCGGAUUUUCAAAUCCAUAAAAAUACAACAACCAAUAACCCCUACUAAAUUGCCAAACUAACAAAGACCAACACAGUAACGAGAGGUAGAACAAUGCAGUCAAUUACAUUUAUGAGCUACAUACUCGUUAAAGAACUCAUCUUGCAAACCUUUAUCUAGCAAAACAGCAGUUAAGAAGCUAAAGUGAGUGGUUUAACAUAGGAUUUGACAACAACAUCAACAACAAAUUUGAAAAACAGUUCCAAGCAGAUCUAGUUAUGAGAUAUCAAUCAAACAGGGGUCACUAAGACAAGGCUGUACACAUCUGACUCACUUCAUCUAGUAAUUCUAGUAAAAUAAAACAAACUACUUGCUCAAGUAAGUAAUCAAUCAAAGAGGAAGGAAGGUGGUGUACCCGUCCAUUGUGAAAUCCACAACUGGUUUGGCACAAGAAAGGUCUAAGCUUUGCUCUGUUACUUCCAUAAAUUGCUGAAUACUUGGCAACCACUUGCUUCAACAUUAUAUCUGCAGUGCACACCAACCUACAGAAAGUACAUCAAGUGGUGUUCAGACUCAUAGAAACUAGCUUCUGUCACAAACGUAUGCUUUCCUCUCGUGUUAAAAACAAGCUUCAAUACUAACAUCUUAGCAUCCUGAAGAGUAACAGAGAAGAACUAAGCAAACUUAACUUCUCUCAGAGUUUCAAUACAACAAUUCAAAGAGCACAAAAUUUUAUGUCAUUUCUAAUUUUUUUCCAGCAAGAUAUCAAAUUUACAGCUAUGUAAAUAUGCAAAAUGAUGAAGCAAUCGUAUGAGAUAAUCAUAACAGUUUCUACAGAAAAAUAUUCAAAUUCAACUCAAUUCGGAGAAGAUGAUAUACAAUAACACACACAAAACCAGUAUAAUCGAUCAAAUUACCAACUGAAAUUGAUAGAUGAAAUUAACCUAAGAAGAAGUCACGAACCGGAAAAAAGUAACCGGCGACCUGAAAAGCGAUGGACAGUGCACGACGGUUUGAUUUUGCAGAGGAGACAAGUCGCAACGAAACCUAAAAAUCUGGUUUUCUCUGCUGGUUAAGUAGAUCAAUUGGAACCCGAAUCGAAUCGGCUAAUUAAACCGGAUUUUUUUUCCGGUUUACGCUGAAUAAAGCCACGGGGUUUAAUUUAAUUUUCAGUGGUCCGUUCAGAACCUUCACUUGCCCACUCUCAUCACUGCCUCACUCGCCGUCCCUUGCCGUCGCCGGCGAUAGCCACUCCGUCACCAUUGCUCUCUACUUCUCCAUAUCCGGUUAGUCUCUGGUUUCUAUCGAUUCAUUUCUACACAUUUUUUCACGUAGACUUUGUUCUUAAUUCUCAACUUGCUCUACAAUUUUCAGAGUCUAUGAAGUUCGUUUACGGAAGCUUUUGUUGGGUCUAGGUUUAGGGCUUUCUCUGUCAACGUUUUGUUGUUUGAUUCUCGGAGCUUGAUCGUCAGAAAGGUGUUAACUUUCACUCUCUCUUGUUAUGAGAAAGGUGUUAACUUUCAGAUUAGGAUAAGACUUCACAUUGCAUCAACGAAACUUUAUAUUAUGAGAAGUUAAUCUAAUUGAGAGCUAUUCGCUUUGUCUUUAACAAAAAGUGUCUUUUGGAGUUUUAGGGUGUGAGUAGUAAGCCAUUGGAAAAUGCCGCCGAGGAAGAAGCCAAAGUCUUCAGCUUCGAAAACAAACAAACAAUCUUCAGCCAACCAGUCCUCACAACCUUCAAGCGUUGGCAUCCAGCAGCUCUUCCAAAGACAUAUUCAGAACUCCCAAUCAACUUCCAACUCUCUUGCCUCUAACCCCGUAGUCUCAACGCCUCAAAAUCCUCUGAGCAGGGUCGAUGAGAAGCCUGAUGAGUCCAAAGAUGUGGACCAGGGAGGACUCACGGAGGCGUCUCCUGAGGUCUCCAGAAACGCUAAGCGCUUCAAAUUCUCUCCUGGAAUGGUGUCUUUUUAAUCUUAUAUCUUGUUUCUUGUAGUUUAAUUUGUGAUACUUAACAUGGUUUAUUACUUAGUGGUCGUGUGAUUCUUACUUGCUUCUUUUUAUCUUGAUAGCUGAUAAAGCAAAGUCAAGAUGAUGGUGGCGAAGAGAUAACUUGGAAAAUAUCUCCUAUAGAUCAAAGACUUCGCGCAGCUGCUAAGCAGGUUCCUAAGAUGAUGGACUUGACUGAAAAUUCAGUGGGAUUUAAAUCUUCUACCCUACGCCCAUGCUCUCUGGACAAGGCAUGUUUUUCUUUUUAAUUUCAUCUGUUAUUGACAGAAAAUCCGGUAGCUGUUUCACUUAUUGAAAAUGACAGCAGGUAGUGCAGAAACAGUGUCCUACAUCUGAUAUAACUUCCAAGGUGGAGCAGUGGUUAUCAUCCCCCUCAAAGAAAGCUUUCAAAAGACCAGCUUUGCCAGCAAAUAGGGUCACGGAAAGGGUGAAUCCUUCCCUAGAUGGGGAGUUCGAGAUUGUUAACACUUCUAGUAGUGGAAACAGUCCUUUCCAGACCCCACCGUCACUUUCAUGCUCUCACAACAAGGUGAAUUUCUUUCAUGAUAAACGGAUGAAUGAUGACAUUUUGUCUAUUUUCUAACGUUGCUCUUGUUUAUAUUAGCUUCCUUGUACUGUAACAUGCAGUGCAGCUUGUGGGUCCACGGGCACUGGGCAACAUAAAAAGGUAAUAAUUGAGAAUUGAUGCAGUCUGUGUUUUAAAAGGCGAUCGCCUUUUGCGCCAAGGCGCAAGGCGCACAGUGGCGAUGGUCCUAGCGCCUCAGUCCUCUAAGGCGAGCCCUAGUUCCUCAAGGCGCUCGCCAUGGUGCGCCAUUGGCUUAAAUAUAAGCGCCUUGAACCUCUUAAGGCGCGCCUUGUAGUUUCCGUUAAAACACUACUUUGACGGAACCCUUAAAACAUCUUGGAACUCUAUCACUACUUUCUCGACCAUUUAAAUAUCCUUAAAACAUAAUGCUUAGAUCUUCAGAGUUUUAGGUUUUGUUGGAUUUGAUCAAUUGAAUUUAGUUUUUUAGUUUCAAGUUCUUUGUUUAGGUGUUUUGGGGUUUAUAUAUGUGUACAUAGCUGACUAUAUUAGUGUGCAUGACUAACUUGUUGCUGACUAUAUUAGUGUGUAUAAAUAAGACAAUUUGGUAUAGCUGACUGUACUAGUGUUAUAUACGAGUCUACUCUAUAACUAUCCUCUGUACGUAACCAUAGAAAUAGUUACACGUCUGUAGCUAACACAUACACUUCUAAGUUCUAACCUAAGAACAUCUAUCAAUGCAUAUAUAAGUUCUCUAAAGCUGUAUAUAACUAAACCACGUUUGAAAGCAUUCUAACUAUAAGGCGAGCGCCUUGUAGCGCCAUGGCGCAAGGCGCAUGUACAACCUCCUCGCCUUAGAGCGCCAUGCGCCAUUUAAAACACAGGAUGCAGUCUUUAGAUGUUGGCCAAAGACAGUUUUUAAUAUGUGUUAUAUGUUUUGUCACUUCCAACUGUGGUUGAUCAAGAUUAGAUGCAUUAUAUUGUUUUCUACAGCAUGUCAAUGUAUUAUUUCUACAUGUUACCUCUUUUUGUAGGCCUUGCUUGAACUUCUAGAUCAAGUGGAGGAUGUCAUCUCAGUUGAUGAAAAAACAGCUGAUGAAGUGGGGACUGUGGUUCCCCAAAUUCGACUUGAAGAAGAUAAAAUCUGUUCCGUUGGUGUCUACAACGCCGUAGACGAAAAGCCAAUUGCUCUACUAAAAAAGAAUAAUUCUGCAAAUCCAGAUAGCUAUUUCCUUGUAUUGGAGGUACAGUUGACCUUUAUCAUACUUGGGUUACUUAUGUGGUUUUUAUGUGAAAGUUACUCAUUAUCCCGAGUUGUACUUCAGGUAUCUGAGAAACGUGGCUUCGCUGGCUCAUCUAGGGUUCAGUCUCCUUAUAAGGUUUGCAUAUAUUAAAGGGUUUCUUUCUUGUACAUGCCUAUAUUUGCUGACCAAAUUUCUCUCAGGUUCUUCGCCUGCUAGACGAGCACACUGGAAAAGAAUGCGCUUUAUAUCUCUGGGAUGAAUGGUACUUUACUUUUCUUUGAUCCUUUAUUCAAUGUGCUACACCUUUUUUGGAUGUCUUGGUCUCGAAUGCUCUUGCUCUUUAAGAUUCUAAUUGUGGGCUGGUAACAUGCUACACACUUUUGUUGUUGUCAAUCUUUCUAUUCUUUUGGCGUAUGGGGGAGCUAAAAAAUCAUCUAUUCAAUUCCCAGUUGGCUGAAACCUGGUUAAGUAGCCUAUGUUGCUUCCUGAAUACUUGAGCUUAUUGUUCCCAGGUUUUACAGCACUGUAUCACCAGGAGAUUCAAUCAAUGUUAUCGGAGAUUUUGACGGGGAGGGCAAGUGUGACGUAGACCACCAAAAUAAUUUCUUAAUUGUUCAUCCUGACACCCUUGUUGCUGGAACUAAGGUAACUUUUCCUUUUCACUUUAUGGUCUCUGAUUGCAAAUACCAAUCUUCUGUGCACUUAAUUCUUUUUUUCUGCCUUUGUUGGGAAUAACGGUUUUGUCUUUCAGGUUGCAGCAAGUUUUGGUUGCCCAAGGAGAACCGUGCUGGAUGAGAGGCUAAGAUCCAAUGAACACGCUACAGCUGCCUUGCUUGGAACCUUGCUGCACCAAGUUUUUCAGGUUUACUGCAGUAUGAAAUAUUUGAUGAAAUUAUGUUGGACAAUGAGUAUUUUGUUUUAUUUCUUGCAUUUGUAGUGCAUUGAUCUAUACUGUACAUUUCCUCUUUAACAGGCAGGUCUCACGCAAGAGUCUCCAUCUGCAGAUGGUUUGCAGGAAUACGCGAGCAUAGUGAUUAAGAAUAAUAUUGAGAGCUUAUAUGCAUGUGGAGGUUGGUUACUACAUUACAUGUUCCUACCAUGCAUUUAUUAUAUAGCUAGAAUACCUCUUAUUUGUAUAUUAUAAUUUUGAGUUAGUAUAGCUAGGCUACCUCUUAGUAUAUUGGAAUUUGAAAUUAAUAUGGCUAUAAUACUUCUCGAGUUAUUUUGGAAUCAUUGUGCUUUGAAGAUUCAAUGAAAUGCACUUUAUUCUUUUCUUAUCCGGUCAUAUGUUCUCUACAGUGCAUGAGCGAGGCGUGAAAGCAACCUUACACGAAGCUAUCCCAAAAAUGUUGAAUUGGAUUCAUCACUUCCGAGAUUCGAAGGUGCACCUGUAUUUUCCUAUUGAUGAUUCUUCCUUGAGUUUAUCUUAGAUGUUAUAUUACUGUUUCCUUAGAUGAACAUUAAAAAAUUUGUUACUCUUCUGCUUGGUUAUCCUUCAGAUAUUUUUACAGUUGUCUCGCUUAGGCUCUUACAUGUUUUACUGUGUUAUGCUCUCAUGAUGUGCUGGACUUUUUUCCUUGUGCAUGUGCUAGUAUGAUAAUCACAUAUUUGUGUUAAUGCUACUUUUUAGCUACAUAUAUCUAAUAACAAGUAAACAACCAGACUCGUAGCCACCGUCACUUUUUAUUUAUUUUAGUGUUAGAGUGACAUCUAAUGAAAGUUUUUGCAUGCUUUUCUCUCUCUUAUUUCUUCCCCUUUAAAGUCAUGUUUUCUAAUAACACUAUAGGCAGAAACAUCUUUAACUCAUGGCAUGGUCAUUAUUAACAGGACUCAACAAUAUCAAAUGUUGAUUUUGGGUCUACUAAUGGGCAGCGAAUGGUAAAGAUAUCAGAGGUGAAUAUCUCUUCCUACUCUCUCUCUCCCUUCUUUCUUCUUAGGAUUUCAUAUCUUUCAGGUGAAGAAUAGAACCAAUUUGUUGAUUCAAAUGUUUCUUACUUUGUUGUUCCAAGCGGAUGCAUAAGCCACAUCUUAAAUUUCCAUCAGAACUGGUGUUUAUUCAAAGCACUCUCUUCUUAUGAGAAUUCUGUUAUGUAAAUAAGCUAAUUGUAUUACCUCAGGUAAUUGACAUUGAGGAGAUGUCAUGGGCCCCUAAAUAUGGUCUGAAAGGAAUGGUCGAUGCUUCAGUCAGAGUGAUAGUUGGAUCUGACAUGAACACAGCGAAUGAGAAAAUAAUGCCUCUUGAGUUUAAAUCUGGAAAGGCUCCCAAUGGGCAGGUUUGUGUGGAAAUUAAUCUAGAUAUUCGGUUGAAAUUUAAAAGUUAGAAGUGUCUUUUCACAACGAGGAGCUUGGCCUUUAUUGUGUUAUGCAGGCAUCAAUGGAACAUUGUGCACAGGUGAUCUUGUACACGCUCCUUAUGUCUGAGAGGUGAUUAUGUGCUGUCUUUCUUUCGUACUUUUGCUGGAAAACAACAUCUGUUAAUAUUUUUGUUGUUUCCAUCUCACAGUUUACAAUUUUCAGGUACCUAAAGCAUAUUGACAAUGGCCUUCUGUAUUAUCUACAGUCAGAUCAGACACAGGUGAGUCUAAACUUUUGUGUGCCUUUCUUUGGUCUCAAGAUAUUGGAAGUGGCUAAGCUUUCAUUUCUCACUUGUAAAAGGGAAUUUCUGUUCAAAGAUCAGAUUUGGUGGGUUUGAUUAUUCGUCGUAAUGAACUUGCAAAUGACAUCCUCGUGGCAUCAACAACCCAACAAUUGCCACCAAUGUUACGGGUAUGCUUUGAUGUCCAGUAAUGAUUUUUUUUUCUAGUGAAUAUUUACCAGAUAAUGGUAUGGUUUUAUUAUUUUGAUGCUAGAAUCCAAAUAUGUGUCGUAACUGUCGCCAUCUGGACGCCUGCACGAUUUAUCAUAAGGUAUUUUCUUGUGUCUAUGAUGAAUAAUGUUUUAAGCAUGUUUGGGGGAGAGGUAGAACGUCCAUCUUCAUGGUGUUGAACUUUCACCAUAUCUUAUGUGAUUAAAGCUUCUAAAACAUCUUAUAUGCUUGACCAGGCAGAUGGUGGAAACACGGAGAGUAGCGGACUUGCUGAUCUCUUUGACGCACAUGUAUCUCAUCUUUCAACUUUGCAUUUUAAAUUCAUACGACACUGGAACAGACUGAUUGACUUGGAAGCUAGAGAGAUGAAGGUCAGUCUUGAAUACCAGCUAAUUUUACUGGAGUUCAAACUCAACGGCCUUUUCUGAUUCGGAGACCUUACUACUAAGUUUGUUUACAGCUUCCAAGGAAAGACAUUGCACAUCCACGUGGUUCAAAGGGCAGCGACUCAGCCAGUUAUCUUUCUUCUAUGGUUCUUGACAUGAAAGAUGGGUUUCAGCAUCAUAGCUCUCAUAAAGAUUCUAGAUUCAUUUAUCGUUUUGUACGUCAAAACUUAUCUGAAUCUAGAGAAAGAGUACCCAGCGAAGAUACGACUAGGACUGGAAAGCCUUCAGCUGAUGACCUGGAUUGCAAACUUAGACCAGGAGACCGCGUGGUAUAUUAAUUUUUUUUGUUUUUGUUUUUUUUUGUCAUGGCUUAUCUGAACCGAUAGAGUUAGCUGUACUUGAAAGCACUGUGUGUUCAUUGGCCAUCUCUUCUUUCUGAAAGUUUCAACUUUCACUCUUAGUUUAUACUGUUUCCUUUUUUGUUUAUAAAUUUUCAUAUCCAGAUUCUUCGCACAGAAGUCAGCCACCUAACCGUUGCAAAUGGAAUUAUAGCAGAGAUUAGUCGCACUCAUGUAUCAGUAAGUACAUUCCUUAUUACAGUUUGUGGUUUUAGCAUAGUUUGUCUGGUACAAUUGAUCUAAUUCUUACUCAGACAUAUCUAAGAGUCCUGGAUUUUCCCUUUUCGAUGUUAAUCCUUAGGUUUCUUUAUCCAAGCGAUUACGUCUUCCUUGGAGCGAGCCUUCUUCUGAGGUGUCCAAUCUCUCUAAUGAGUCAUGGCGAAUUUACAAAGAUGAAUACAUGACAUCAUUUUCAAUUAUGAGGUGAUUUAGUCAUUUAUUGUUUUUUCACUUAUUGAUCCUACUUACAUGGGCUGUCACGAUAUUGAUUCAUCAUUAUCUUCCUAUUCUUCAAGGUUCAAUCUCAUGCAGCUUUUCAUACAAAGCGUACAUACCAUUGGCAUCAGGAAAAUGAUUGUGGAUCUUGAGGUGAUUUGUCUGAUUCAUCUUUUUUUAGAUUUCCCGUUGUCACGAUGAUGCUAUUUCUUAUAUUCUUCUUUACGCGCUUCAUUAUUCUUCUCUCUUCCAUGUCUCUGUAGCCUCCUAGGUUUGACAAUGGAUCUAUACUGAGCCAGGAUCCAGCAAUAUCAUAUAUUUGGUCAGAAAAGAGCUUAAAUAAUGAUCAGCGUCAAGCUAUACUAAAGGUCAUUGCAUGAUUAUGUUUGUUUGUUCUCUUGUUUAACGUGCUAUUCUUAACGUAUUUCUGAACGAAGAGUUGCUUUCUCUUUUUAAUUUUUCAGAUACUCACUGCAAAGGACUAUGCGUUGAUCUUAGGAAUGCCUGGAACAGGAAAAACCUCCACAAUGGUUCAUGCUGUGAAAGCUUUGUUGAUCAGAGGCUCAUCUAUUCUGCUGGCAUCGUACACAAACUCUGCAGUUGAUAAUCUACUUAUCAAAUUGAAAGCACAGGUCCUUUAUCCUCUAGCCAACUUUUUUUUUCUUUCUGGAUUAUGACUCUUUCAUCCAUCUCUAAAGUAUUUAUAAUUAUGUUUCACUCUGUAUCUUGUCGUUGAAUAAACUGCAUGAGCUUUUGUUCUUAAGAAAGAGUAAAAAACAUUUUUCUUCUUCAAAUGUUUACUUCGAGACAUAUAGGAAUAGUUUAGUUAUGACAUACUAUUUUGAAUGCAUUUGCAGGGAAUUGAGUUUUUACGUAUUGGAAGAGACGAGGCUGUACACGAAGAAGUUCGAGAAAGUUGCUUUUCGGGUAUGAAAAUAAUCUUCGAACUAUUAUAGCUUCGGAGUCUUAUAGAUAUAGUCUGGACUUAUCUUUGUGGCAGCUAUGGAUAUGUGCAGUGUCGACGAGAUCAAAACAAAGUUGGACCAGGUCAAAGUUGUGGCCUCUACAUGUCUGGGAAUCAAUAGUCCCUACCUUGUGAAUAGGCGUUUUGACGUUUGCAUUAUUGAUGAAGCCGGCCAAAUUGCCCUCCCUGUAUGAUAUCUCAUCUCACUUAUGUGUAAGAAUUGAAAGAAAGAGUGGACACAAUUGAGUUAACUGUUAUUGUUUCUUGUACUGAUCAGGUAUCAAUAGGACCUUUGCUGUUUGCCUCUACAUUUGUACUUGUUGGUGACCACUAUCAACUACCGCCACUAGUGCAGGUAAGCAAGCAUUUACCACCUCUUUUGAAAUAUCUCCCCCUUUUUCCAGUAACUUCAGCAUCCGUGUUGUGUUUUAUGAAAUUAGAGUACAGAGGCUAGAGAGAAUGGGAUGGGGAUAAGCUUGUUUCGUAGGUUAUCAGAAGCUCAUCCCCAGGCAAUUUCAAUGUUACAGAACCAGGUUAGCCUUGGGAUGGGCGUUGUUAUCGGGUAUAUACCAUUUUUGCUUUACCAAGACAAUUUUUGAUGUGCAGUACCGAAUGUGUCGAGGUAUUAUGGACCUAUCAAAUGCCUUGAUAUAUGGAGAUAGAUUGUGCUGUGGUUCCGCUGAAGUAGCUAACGCCACACUUUUUCUUUCUACUUCCAGUUCUAAUUCGCCAUGGCUUAGAAAGGUCAGUGUGUUGUUCUUAUACGUUUUAUAAAUUAGAGCAUCUUCAAGCAACUAAUAAUCUAAUAAGCAUCUUAAUUGUUUUUGUCAUUAGGUUCUGGAGCCAACCAGAACAGUUGUAUUUAUUAACACAGGUUGGUGGCUACUUGCUAGUUACUUUUUCUUCACAUGAGCUCUUGGAUUUUACAUGAGAGAUUAAAUGAUAUGGUUUUCCAGAUAUGCUGCGUGCUUUUGAAGCCAGGGAUCAGAAUGCGAUCAACAAUCCAGUUGAAGCUUCAAUAAUAGCUGAGGUACUGUAAAAAUAUGAAAGAUUCAUUGAAAGCAAAAGAAAACAUUGGGCUAACUUUAGUAAUGCUUUUCUUAGAUUGUGAAGGAGCUAGUUAACAAUGGAGUGGAUAGUAAAGAUAUUGGAAUCAUUACUCCUUAUAACUCACAAGCGAGCCUCAUUCAACACGCCAUUCCAACGGCGUCUGUGGAGAUACAUACUAUUGACAAGUAUCAGGUUUGGCUCUAGAACUCUCACCAUUCUUUUCUCGAGCAUUUUGAUUCGGUAAGCCUUUUGAUGAGAUCACAUGGUUUUAGGGAAGAGAUAAAGACUGCAUAAUAGUUUCAUUUGUGAGAUCGCGAGAGAAACCAAGGAACUCUGGUUCUUCACUGCUCGGAGAUUGGCAUAGGAUCAACGUUGCUUUGACACGAGCAAAGGUGAGAGAGAAGGAGAGCAUAUGGUGGUGUUGAGUAAUGUUUUUUUCCAAUUAUUGACACAAUGUUUUGUUUGGUUUGGUUUGCACAGAAAAAGUUGAUAAUGGUGGGAUCACAAAGAACACUAUCAAAAGUUCCACUCCUGAUGCUUCUACUGAAGAAGGUUAAGGAGCAGUCAGGUAUCUUGACUCUUUCUCCGGGGGACCUAAAACCAUAACAAGUCAUCAAGAAUCGCUUCUAGUAUAUUUUUUUUUGGUUUUUUGCCCAAAAGGACUGAGAAUGUAUAUGAUCAAUUGAUGUACUUUCCGAGUCUAGUUUUGUUGACAAGAGUGCAUCUAACAGUUGCAUGGUUCCAUUAUCAACGUAAAUACAGAGACUAUUCUUCAAACUGUCUACUUAGGCAGAGUGUAUAACACAAGCUAGUGUUAAGCAAUAUAUAAGAAGCAAAAUCAUUAAAAGUUUGGACCUAAGAAGACUAAACCACUGAACUAUCCAUUCUCUAUCGAUCAAUCAAGUUUAGCAAUAGAUGUAAUUCACAGAUUUGCAUAUAAUCCACAUACUGUCAUAUUCAAUAUUUAUUGUUUUCAACCAUCUCUGUUAUUCAUGAAAUAGAAAAAGGUUUUCUCUGUUUUUUUUUUGUCUUAAACCAAAUGCAUUGAGCCACUAAGCUCGAUGAAUAUAGCCACACAACAACAAACACAAAGUAGCCAGGUCAUGUACGACCUCCUUAUUCCAUCUCUCUCUCUCUCUCUCUUCCUCGAAAAGUAACAGCUUCAGCUUAGCCCUGAAGACCAAUAAUACCUGCAAAAUAGCAGAGACCAAACGUCAGUCGGUUGAUCCUUUCCGAGUCUAAUAGUACACUGAGACUGAAUUCCAACAAGCCUAUAGUUUUAUAGUCAGAGAAUCAAGGAGUUCAACUUGUGAUUGAUUUUAUACUGACGAGUUUCCACAGAAAGAAAACUGAGAAAAAUUGUGGUCUUUCUACUUACCACAAGCAACACGGCCUCCUGCAUUUCCAGUAGACAAGCUGAGUUCAUGGCCUCCUGAAAAUUUAACACACCAAUGAGAGUUUAGAGAGAGUGUUCUUAGGACUGAUGUUGAAGAUGUCCUCAUAUGGACAAUGUAACUUAGGGAAAUAAAAUAGCCAAAGGUCAUCACCCUUUCCAAGGUCAUCACGUUCUGCAUGGACAACAACAGCCCUUCCUACAAUAGAGUUUGGUCCAGUAAGAGGAAUCUGCAGACGGAACAACAAUGCAUUGGUUCACUAAAGCAGUUUUGUAAAAGGAAGAACAAAAAGAGAGCAGUAAAAUAGGUACCUGGCUGUCAGUGAUUGUGAAGGUGGCAGUUCCUGAGACAGCAAAAAGAAAGAAGAAGUGUGUAAACCCGUGAACACUAAAGAUGGUCUAAAGAUGAGAAACGUUCUACAAAACAGCUCUAAAGAAGAUUGAGAUCAGAGGAGAAGAAGAAGAAAAAUACCAUCAUCACCAACAAUGAUGUUUCCUAGAUCUCCAGCAUGACGAUUAGCAUCCUCAGGUGCACCGUGGGUUUUACCAUCAGGGUUGAAAUGUGGACCUAGAAUAGAAGUUCACUUAAAUUAUUAAAAACCAUGUAGACAAACACCAAGUUUCUCGGCCAUCCUUUCAAAGAGGUAGAAGAGUCGUACCGGUAGACAUGCAACCGUUGGUGGUGUCACCAAGAGCAUGGACAUGGAAACCAUGGGGACCAGGUUUAAGACCAGAAACAGUUCCAGUCACAGUUGUGGCACCUACAAAAACCAACACAAGAAUUCAAUCAUUUCAUAAAGAAUGAAAAAAAAAAAGAUGGCUUAAAAUAUCUUAAAGCGUUCCACUCUAAAAAAGUACAAGUACCAUCUCCUUCCUGGGUGAAGAAGAUAGUCCCCUUAACACCCUCACUGCUGUUCAAAACUGCAACUCCCUUGGCCAUAGUUUUGUAUAUCCUUUGUGAUCUGUAAAAUCAACCGAACAAAUCAUUCAUCUCAGCAUAUAUAUAUAUAUACAUGUACAGUCCAGAUACAACAAAUGGUUGUACAAAUACAUUAAGAUGCUCAAAACAGAUCUCAUCUAUUUAAACACUAAUCUUAUCUUAAUAUAAGCUUGAUGCACACACACAAAAAGGAAAAAAACAGAUCUUUAUGUAAACCCAUAAAAGAUAUAUCGAUUAGAACGAUUCAGGCAAACAUGUGAAUAAUAGAUCUAAAGAAUCCAUGUGAUUAAUCGAUCUAUGAUACAAUCAAUGAUCCAUAGUGACAAAUGAAAGCCAGAGGAGAAAAAGGGAAUCUAAACAUACCUCAGGGUACCCCUUUUGAAAUGAGUAAGAUGGUAGCUAUCAAAUGUCUGAAGUGAAUUUAAUCUGAAUGAGCUUAGCUUUGUGGUUGCUGCUUUGUCUUUGUGUACUUGUAUAUAGCCACGAGGUCGACAUGUGGGUAGGUGUUCGCUAUUUUCUUAAUUUAUUUAUUCAAUUAAUUAAUUAUCUGUUUAAUUAAUAAUAACCACGCAGGUGUGGUCUGGUCAGGAUAAUCCAAGAUAGAUAGAUAGGUCUUUGACUUUCCCUAUCACAUCUCUUUUUGGGCCGCUAAUGGGCUCUCUGAAUGUUGAAAUAAUGGGCUUUCUGAACUCUGAACAAGUGGGCUUCCCCAGUUAGAAAAUUGGUAGAUUCUGAACAUACUACUACUUCCGGGAGGUUAACCGCUGAUGAAUGUAAAGAGCUUUUGAUACAUUGCCGUAAAGAACAAAGGUAUGGUUUACAAAAAUGUAUAUCUUCUUUAGCGUAACGUUUUUGAUUUGGGAAUAGUAUUUGGAGUAAUAGCUCGUUUCGUUAGGUACAACCAUCUCCGAUCCGAUCUCACUCACUACCAUUAACUGCUCAGUUCCGUUGCCUCUUCGUCGUGGAGAGACGGUUAGUUUUUUAUUCCAUCUCCCUAUUUCAUCAUCAUCAUCAUCAUCGUUGUUUGUUUUCGUCUUUCUCUAAAAAAAAAAAAAACUAAAGCUUAUUCGUCUUUAGAAUUUGAUUUCAAAUUUCAAAUCGUUAGGCCUCCGUAAGAUCCGAUCCAUUUGAUCCGAGGAACCUGGGCCUUCCAAAACGUCGUCGUUCUAGUUUAAAUAUAUAACAAACUGAGUGCUAUAUUGAUUUGAUUGAGCCAGCCCCCGCAUUGAUCGUCGUCGAACUGUAUUCUGGCGUUUGAUUCCCCGCCGGUAUCGCUGAUAACAAAAGCGAGCGAACGCGUUAAGGUAUUAAACCGCGUUUGGCUCGAUUCUAGGUGACGGAAGAUCGAUAACGCGAACUCGCCUCUGAAUCUCCUCCGGCCUUUUGUUUGUUCUGGUUGAAUGAUUGAUUUAGAUUUUUCGUUAUGUUAUGAUCAUAGAUAAAGAUAUUUUCACUAUUGAUCUGAUUUUGCUCUCCUCGUUUAGUGAUUCUGAGCUGAUCUUGUUCUGGUUGAAUGCUUGAUUUGAUUUUGUUAUGUUAUGACUUAUGAUCAUAGAUAGAUUGUUUAUGAUUGUUACCAAGGCACUAUUGAUCUAAUUUUGCUAGCUUCAUGGUUGAGUGAUCAUAGGAUUAAUCUCUCUCUCUCUCUAUUUUUGUUGUUGUUGACAAUAGGGGCGGAGAGAGUCCUGCUGCAAGUGGUAGCUCUUCGAAGCUCAUUGCGUUUCACCAGAUUUUGUCACAGCAAACAUGAAUAUGCCUUUGUUGGAUAUUCAACCACGAACACUCAAGUUUCCAGGUAAAAAGAUGUCAAGGGAGGGAGACUCAUUCUUAUCAUUUGCGUAAUGAUAUCAUUUUUAGCUUACUUAAGAGGGUUCUCUGAAUUAUCAACUAUGAGUUGGCGUAAUGUUAAGGUCUAUGUUGUGCUGAGGAACUUUUUCAAACUACUUCUUGCUGCUGGUUUUGUGUGUGGUGUAAUUCUGUGAAGAUGGAAGUGUCUCUAAAAGGAUAUCUUUGCCUUUUUAGUUUUCAAAUCGUAUGUAAUUGUUAUCCUUGUAAGACUAAUGGGGUUUCCUAUUCUGUAGUUGAUCUGAAGAAGCAGACUACCUGCAUGGUCCUGCUAACCAAUACAACUGAUCGUUUUGUUGCGUUCAAGGUCUUUACACACAUUUUUUCUCCAUCUUCUCUCUCUCUCUGGCUUCAGGAUUUCUGAUAUCUUCCAGUUUCUCUGGAUAAGACAGCUAAAUUAGUAGUGGUUUUGGUAUUUUGACAGGUCAAAACUACAUCACCAAAGAAGUACUGUGUCCGUCCAAAUGUUGGCGUUGUUGCACCAAACUCAUCCUGUGAAUUCUCUGGUAAGACAAUACUUUAAUUUCUUGCACUAUAUUUCUUCGGUUAGUGGGGGAUAAGUUGUUGGUUGAUUGAUGUCUAUUGGCAUGGGAAAUGAACUCAAAUUUUUAUAUUUGAUUAGCUUUGUCUUCGGUACGCUCAAUUUUGAACAGCGUUUGGACUUUGUUUAGGAUCCUAGGCUUUCGGUGUUCACGUUGUAGUUGUCUAAAAGGGAAAAUGUAUCUUCCCCGGAUGGAGAUACUAAGUUCAAAUGAUUUCACUACAUGGAACCUGCGUUGUUGGCAAGCAUUCAAAGUUUAAUCUGGAUGAUAAGUAGUUCUUGUGCAUAUUCAAAUUCAGUUAAUGCUUUCACUUAAUCAGAGUUAUAUGUUAUUGCAGUCAUUAUGCAAGCUUUCAAAGAACCACCUCUAGACUUGGCUUGUAAAGACAAAUUUUUAAUCCAGAGUACUGCUGUGCCUGCGGACACAACUGAUGAAGACAUCACAGCUAGCAUGGUAAUCCUUUGAGCCUGUCUACCCCGAAAUUCAGUUAUUGGUCUGUCAAGUAUAUCUAUAUAUUCAUUUCAUUAUUCUUGGCAGUUCUCCAAAGGGGAAGGCAAACACAUAGAGGAAAACAAACUGAGAGUCACUCUCGUGAUGCCCUCCGACUCACCUGAACUAUCUCCAGUUAAAGGGCCAACGAAGGAGGAAGCAGUAUUUGAAGAUUCCAUCCUCAAGGAUCGAUCGUAUGGUCAAUCAGAGAUCCUUCCUCCUCCACAAUAUGUAAGACGAGUAUUUAGCCCUCUUUGAGAUUUUAGUAUACAUUAUAUGAAGAGUACCAGCCAAGCAGUGUGUAGUUCUUUCCCACCAAGUCCGUUUUAGCUUAGCCUAUAAUCAUAAUUACUGGAUGCAAUUGGCCGUUUAUUAUUCAUUUUUGUUUAUUCUCAAACUUUAUCUGUCUAGGAGAGUGAGAUUGUAAAGGAGCCUAGGAUGGUUGGGCAUGAUGAGCUAAAGGCAUCGUAUGGUGCAAAAGAGCUAGUGCAACCAAAAAAGGGCGUCAUGGGUUUUAUGGAAGAUUUGAAUCCUGCUAACGACUUAAAGCCAACACAUAACUUAGAUACUCCCACGGCCAUGGAUUUUCCUGGGGAUAAAGGGUUUACUAAUGGAAUGACUUACCCUGAGGUUGUCCAGCUAGAGAAAAGAGAUGGUCAGAAGAUCAAUGCAUCGGAUGAACACAAGUUGGUUAAAGACAUUGAGGAGAUGAAGGUGAAAGUCAAAGCUCUUGAAUCGAAGCUACAACAGGUAUGCUUACCACAUUUUAGAAGUCCAAAACCUGGGUGCUAUCUGUGCUAAUGAGUUAAAUAAUCUGGUGCAGGCUGAUUCAUUUCGAAGCUAAUGGAGGAGCGGUCUAUAGGAUCCCAACAUAGAGAAAGCUUGCAACAAGAGCUGGUGAGAGUAGCUAGUAGCGGCUUGACUACAUAUCUGUUUCUUUUUAUAACCGAGUAGUAACAAAAGUCUUGUAUUUAUGUUGAUGAUGAUGCAGACGGAUCUGAGGACGAAGAAGAUAGUGAAAGAGAAGCACAUAGGGUUCCCUCUGCUGUUUGUAUGCGUGGUGGCGUUCAUCAACAUUGUUAUCGGGUAUGGUCUGCGCACUUGACUGCUCGGUCUCUCUCAAGGUCACACAUACCUUUAAUAUCUCAAAGUAAGUGUGCAGUCAGAAAAUAUACACAAAAGAAGGGAAAAUAAGGUUUUGUUUUGUUUUGUGGGAGAGCGCAUUAUGAUGAGUUUCUCCGGGCACUUUAAAGAUGGAUUAUUAUAGACUUUGUAUAGCGUUGGGGUGUUAGUUGACACAAAUGGACAUAUGGUAAUAUGAUGAUGAUAUGCUUUGUUUUUUCGCUCUUUCACUUACUAAUGUUUAAGGAGACUGCAUGUUCCAAGUUAUUAACGUUCUUUUAAGACCUGGUACGUUUUAUACAAAAGGAAACGAAACACAUUUUAAGUCUGUGAAAAAAAUAUAUUGAAAUCUUUUGAGCCAAGAGGCUCUCUUUACUAAGUGUAUGUCUGAAUAAAAAAAUUCACGUCGGUAGGCUUUCAUCUUGGCCGCCAGUUUUCAUAUAUACAAAUAAGUAGAAGCUUCUUUCAUUAUCUAUCUCUUUGCUUUGGUUUCAAUUGGUUUGUGUCUAGGAGAAGAAACAGAGCCACCACCAAGUGCUGCAGCUGCUGACUCCACAUGCGUCAGAAGAUACUCGUAUAUCUUCUUCCUUAAUCCAUCAAUCGUUUCCUUCGACACUUCUUGUAACCCUUCUCCAUUCUCUUUCGACCCUAUCUCGUCUAACCAAUCAUUCACACUCUUCAACUGAGACAGCAUCCCAGCUAUCUGCCCGUUAUCAGACAGGUUCGAGCUUGUCUCCACAACGUCUGCGUCCAAGAAUCUCUCUACAAAUCCUAAGAACCAGUCUUGAGACACCGUUUGCAACUUCUCUGCCAGAUCAGUUGCCUCGUUCAGACCAUUUCCUUUCACCCACUUCGGCGGUGGAGACUCUGAUCCUCCUGCAACCGUGGUGGCCUUUUGGCUGCUUUUACGGAUCAUGCCUUGUGCCACAAGCUUUGAUCCAAACGUUGGCCGGUUUUGGACAUUUCCACGGGGUUUACUGGUUGUGUUAUUGCCCUGGCUCUCGAGUAUGAUCACUGGUUUGCUCUUGGACGCGGCUGGUUUAGUGGAGUAGACAGAGAAGGCUGAUAAGUUAGUGACCAACGCAGCUUGGACCCAAGAGGCUGCUAACUUCUGCUUCUCCAGAGCCGCUUUCACAGUUUCCUCAGAUCUGUUUGCUUCAUCUUCUACAGAAGAUGUUGAAGACACUAAUCUAGACAACGACUCGGUUACUAUCUGAACGUUCUUCAAACUGGAAUGGAGCUUCAAGAACUGCUCAACUACCGGUAACGGAUCAUCCAUCUUAGCCGUUGACAUAAGAUCGUUGUACAUACUACAAAAAUGGAGAAGCAUAAUAAAGUUUAGAAGCAGAGAAAAAAAAAACAUAUAUGGAUUUGUUAGAGAUUAACGCACAUGAGGCAUUGAAGUAGGCUCUCGGAAGCUGAAGCUUCUUGCAAGGCCUCUAUUGCAACAACUUGAGCAGCAUCUCUAUGCCUCAAAACCUCCUGCAAAUAUUCACAUCAGUAAGAUGAAUGUACUACAUAGAUGCAUAUGUUACAUUCGUACCUGUCCUAGCCUUGAAAGAGAUGAAGGUAGUGAACUCCAUUGGGUACUAGCAGAAGUUAAUCUUUUACUAUUAACAGGGACUUUGACCAAACUCCCAGGCAAUCCAUUCUCUGCAGUAGAUCUCUUGUCUACUGUUGUACUUGUAGACUUAGGCUUACUAGUUUUAUCUUUGGUCUCCACUACUGUUGACUCCACCUUCUUGGUUGAUUGAGUCUUACUGUUCUCCUUUGAUGAUUUUGCAAAUACAUUAGCCCUUUCCUGUUUGCUUGGCAACUUCUCACUAGAUGUGCUUUUCCGCGGCGCCUAGAAACCAAGUGAUAUUUAGACAAAAUGUAUGAUGCAAACCAGUUUAUUCAGAAGAGAGCUUACUGUUAAACUCCUGGCAUCAGGGGUCGUAUCACGUUUGGUAAGAUUCUUCAGUCUUGACCUAUCUGAAGCUCUGAUAUCUAAACUCCCUUCCCAGCUUUUCCUCAAGGCCUUAGCUCCAAACUCAAUCCCUUGCACAAAGUUCUUAAUCAGAGGAAGCUUCUUCCCAACACUGGGACUCUCCACUUUGAGAAGAAACCGCCCCUUCUCCGGCUUCACCGUCUGUUGCUGCUUAAUCCCAUUUGCAAACUUUGCAAAAGAAGUAGGCAGAGAAUAACAGCUAGUGGGAGAAGAAGGGAUUGACUUUGAAGUCUUCAACUUCCUCAAUGGUUCCUUUCUUACAUCCAAACUCAAACCUGACUUGGCUCUGGACAGAGAAGACGGUUUCUUACUCUCACAAGACUCACUCUUAUUAGGAGCAACCACUCCUCCUUUGGCAGUUGCCUUAACUCUCUCUUUUGGUUUCAAACCAUUACCACUGAGGAACUGAGUAGCUACAAUAUCUUCAGGAGUGCCGAGACAAGGAUGCCUACCGGGAACAACCCUAACGCCACAGAGAAUCGGAACAGGGGAAGAAGACUCAACUCUGUCAACAUGAAUGAACUGGCCUAGUUGGAGCUUAUCGCUGAGAAUCAAAUCAUCUUGCUCGUCAGGGAGAGAGACGUAGGUGGCGUGAGAGGAGUCAGAGACUUUGAGAUAAAAGCCUUGGUUUGAGAAAAGCUCUCCUCCGGCUAGAGCAGGGACGAUGCUAAUGACUUGUAAGAGAGAUGACCUGUGUUCUCCGGCGAUUUUGACGUCGGUGUUCAUGUGCUGGAGGAGCUUGAGUAAUACACCAGGGACUAGAUUCGCCAUAGCUGAUGGAUCUAAAGAGAGAUAGAUCUUCAGAGAUGAUUAGAAACUGCAAAGGCAGAGAGACAACUAAUUAAUAUCAUGGCCACAGAGAGAAGCACAGAGAAAGAGAGAGAGAGAGAUGAUUAAUUGAAUAAAAUAUAUAAUAAAGACAUGAGUGAGAGAGAGUACAGGUAAGAGGAAUGUGAAAAUAAUGUGAUAACUGUUGUGUUGUAUCUUGUAGUACAAACACAGACACAACACACUUUCUUUGAUUUUAAGAUUGAGCCGUCAGUUAAAAGAAGCAAGUGACGGGUCAGACUCAGAAUCAGAGAGAUGCAGAAAAAGAUAGGCUAGAUUCAUGUGUUGUGGGCCUUGUGGCUUAUGUGGAUAUAAUAUCAUCUGUGUAUACUUCUUUUUUUUUAAGUCGAUAAAAAACUUUUAUUUACCAUAAAUGCAUAAUGUUUUUCUAUAUGUAAAUUUAUUCGUUUUACAUUUUUCCAAGUUUAUGGAAUUCAAUAUGUAAAGCAAAUAUAUCUGACCAUAAAUGUAUGAUUAGAGGGUAGUAGUAAUGAGAAAUAAAUUCGCCUAGUAAAUGUUCCUCCAACUAUAAUCAUUCAUGUAAUCAAAUGGAAAAUUUUGCUGGUAAAAAAUCAGUUUAUGUAAAUGUAAAUCUUAAAUCUACAAUAACAUAAAUUAAAUGAAAUUUACUUACAUAAUACAAGUCAACUCUGUCAAAAAAGCGAAGUCUAACUAACAUUUGUAGUAACCUUUGUAUAAAGUUGACAAGAGCAAAAAGUUAUUGGUUGUUGUAUUUUAAUGAAUUUGAAAAUCCAAAUUAAAUCUAGUGUUAUUGGUUCUAUGAUUUUCAAAUUUGUAUUAAAAUCAUGUGUUAUUUGUUUAAUAAUUCAUGCAUUCAAUAUCAAAUCAAGUGUUAUUCAAUCAUUCAGAUUUACUACUAUAUUUAAUUUUAUAAUGGAUUUGAAUAGAUUUUUUAGUUGAAAAUACAAAAACUCAAAUCCGAGAAAAACCUUCAGGACUUAUAAAUACUAUAUAAAUUUCUAAAUCAAUCAAAAUAUAUAAACCAAUAACCUCUUAUUCACCUCAGAGAAAGCAUUGUGAUAAAAGUAAUAAUACAUUGAUGCGAAGCUGCAACAAUUAAGAUCAUACAACAGAGAUUAAGUGAAGUGGAGAUGAUGAUGAUAAUGAGCGUCCUAUCCUAAGAGCCUGGCUGCAUCAUAACAAAGAUGAUGACACCAUUACAACGAGAACCAUCACCGCUAUGCUGAGGUGAACAUCUUCUUUAAGACCGUGCGUGCACGGAAGGCUCAUUGAGUGGCAUGUCGGAUUUGAUCUUGCUAAUUGAGUCUCUACUUGAAAAGGCUUCGUAAGGUGAAUCAGUAUGAAUGGUCUCCAUAACUGAACCGAAGAAAUUUGUCACCGGUACCUAAAAUCCCAUAACAAGUGAGUACAUUAAUCAUCUCAAGACAGAGAUAGUUCAUCAAAGAUAGAACAAGCAACUAAAACUGAGGUUUGGUUAAACAUAAUAGUAAGACAAAACAAUGAAUAAUCACUUUCCUCCUUACCUCAGUCAGUUUUGGCUGGUAAAGAUCAGUUCGGUAGUAGGCAGUAGACAUUAGCUGGCUCGGAUCAUAGGAACUAAACAAACUGCACAAAAGACUCAGAGAGUUCAGCUAAAAAGGCGCAUCAGUUUUAACAAUGAUGAAGUUGCAUUGUUAUCGACUUAUGGUAGCUGUUAAGUGAUGCAUUGUCAUAUAUGUUGAGCCUCUCAAAGAAGGCAAGAGUGUAGUAUGUAAACCGAUCUACAACAGAUACACCAAUCUGAAGCAAAAACAAUAUUAGAAUUGGAGAUUUAUACAAUGAUAAAAAACAAGAAACAAUCCCCAAACAAUAUAACGACUUUGCAUUAAUGAAAUAGUGAAUGGCACUUUACAUCUGAGUCCAGGUGAUGUGAGUAUGAGUUCUCUCCUUUAAGACUGCUACCAAUUGCCAAAACACCAGGAGAUUGAAGCUACCAAAACAAAUGUUUAACAACGUAAGAGAAGUAUCCAAAUGAUUAGAUUAGAUGUCAAUGCUAAGAACAAGCUGUUCGUAAAGACACGAUGAAUAUCAAAAUAUUAACUCCAAAGGCAGAAAAAAAAAUGUGACACUAAGAGAUGUACCUGGUUAAAGAGAGUGGCAGCUUGGCAAGUAUCAACCAUAAUCAUCAGCUCCUUGAAUCUGAGCUAGCCACGUCAUUAGAUUUGUCAAAACAGUAAGUAAAUAUAGUCUCACAUGAACUUAAGAAAGACCAUUUAAAUGAGAAACAAACAAACCUAGGCUUCUCUUUCAUUUGUUUGACAGCAUCAGCUAAGUCGUGGCUCUGGAGUUCUUCAGCAUCUUGAAACUUGAGAAACUCAUCACCUCUAUGGCCAGUCAUGUAGAGUAGAAUAUGGCUACUCUCAUGACGCCCAGUGCAGGAAAUUUUCAACUGUCACCUCGUAACCACGAUAAUCUACCCGAGUGAAAAUGAUAAUUACACAAUCAACCUUUCUCCUGGAAAUGAGAUUAUCUAAUAUAUAGCUAGCUACUCAAGAGAGAAAAAUUCACAUACCUCAACGUUAUCUCCGUAGAGGUUGAUUUGGAGGUGGUUUUCAUUGUUGAAAACUUGAGCAGGAUAUUGGUUUCUAGAGUUACAGGCCAUAUCAUCAGCGAGCAUUAGGAUGAUGCGUUCAUCAGGUAUUCCAAGUCUCUUGACUGUCCUAUAAAAAAAAAAAAAAAAAAAAGUAAAAGAGAACAAGAAUGUGAAGAGAAACUACAUCCAAGAAUGGUUAUUAUUCCAGCAUAAAAGGGAGAGAGCUUUAACCUAUGGAGGGAGAGUGUAUUGGCCAUGUGCCUGUAGUUAAACCAGAGAACAUAUAUCAUCAAAUCAAAUCACAGCAACCAAUAGAUUUAAACUCCAAAACCUUAACCCCAUUUGUGAAAUCAAUGGAACAACACAAAGCUAUAGCUAAUAACUGACUGAGUGAGAGAAAGAAAGAAUUGACCAGAAUCGAGAAGUGCAGACUAAGACAGCCCAAUUGUUCGUGUGAAUACUCGUCUCUCCCCAAGUUGAGGCUCAACAGAGAAGCACUACUACCACCAGUAUAUGAAUAAUCUUCAUUUUCCCUAAACAAGAUCUGGAACACAACUCACUAUUGAUCAAACCGGAUAUUAGUUUUUUUUUUUUAAAUAUUGGAUCCUUAAACAUAUCCUGUGUUUGUCAUCAACACAAUACACACUGUUAUGUUGGAUUUGAUUGGUAACACAAAUCAAACAUUUUACAAUCGAACCAUCAAUAAACCGGAUUAUAUUAUUGAAAUUUGAUGAUUUUUUUUUUUUUACUUUGGCUUCUGACCGAUAAGCCAAUAAAAUAAGCACAGCAUCGCGGCUUUUUCUAUAACAAAAUACACCACAAUAUAUAUAUAGUCAAGUGGUUUUUCAUUUACAUUCCUCAUAUCGUAGGCUGAUAAUGAUUUUAUGAGGAGGCAGGCACAAUUGUAUAUGAUUUAACCGUGUCUUUCGUAUAUUCACCAGUAGGAAACUACUGUGGUGAAGGAAGCACGAGCCGGUUCAAUGGCUUCAGCACUUCCGUCAGCUGAGCAAACGACGGCCUCAGAUUCGGAUCCCUGCCCCAACCAAACACAAAAAGAAUACUUCAUUUGUCAUCUCUGUGUAGAUUCUGUUUUAAGUGUAUUGAUUGAGUUUUGUUUUCGCAACUUACGUUUGCCAACAUUCCAAGAUGAUCCUUCCCACCACAGGAUCAAGUUCCUUUGGUAUCUCCAGCCUCCGAUUCUGGAAACCAACCGCUCCUACUACUUGCAUUGGGUUCAUUCCUCUCCAUGGCAAUCUCAAUGUCGCUAGUUCCCAUAGAAUCACCCCAAAGCUGUACACAUCACACCUGCGGGAAAACGAAGCCACCAUGAAUUUUCUAUUGCAUUCUCCUUGGAAAAGGUGAAAGUACGAAGAACCAAGUACCGAACUGAGAGCGUCUAAGCUACUUACUUUUCAUUUGAGGGCUCAUUGCGUAGAACUUCCGGAGCCAUCCACUCGGGCUAACAAAAUUCAAAAUGCUUCUCAUCAGAAAAUGAGCCAUACCCCUCAGAUUACGAGCUGGAAAUUGCAUGUCUCUAUCAAGGGAUAAAAGAGUUGUGUAUUCUCACCGUCCCAGCAGUUGAUUUUGAGGACAAGAAAGUAUUGUGCUUUAAGCGAGACAACCCAAAAUCACCUACCUGCAAGUUUAGAGAGAAAAUAAAAAUUUCAACAGCAGAGAAAACAAGCCUAUUAGUUAGACAGAUUAGAAAAAAAAUGUUUACGUACCUUAACAUUCCAGUUGUUAUCAACCAAAAGGUUUGGUGUUUUUAAAUCACGAUGAACAAUUGUUGGUGUGCUUGUGUGUAAGCAAUUCAUCCCCAUUGCCUGAAAAAUUAACAAGUGAUCUGAAAUUCAGUGACUAUAUUAAAGGAAUCAGCCAAGGGGAGCUUGGAAUAUGAUAAAUGGAAUCUAUUUUUUCUACCACAUCAAGGGCCAUUUUGAUCCUGCGCCGCUCGUCAAUCUGAGACUUGGGCCGAUGAAGGAUGCGAUACAAGCUUCCUCUGUAAUAGAAAUAAUAAAUAUAUAAUCUUUGAGGCUCAAAAGUCUCAAAUGGAAUAGAUUUUCAUAACAAGACGAUGGGGCAAACCUUGGCAGAAACUCAGUGACAAUGGAAAGGUUCGGAGGACGAGUAACCGCCCCAAGGAAGAAAACAACAUUUGGAUGUCGCAAUCUUCGCAUAAUGCGUACCUUUAGAUAAGGAAAUAUUAAUAAUAAGAAUGGCAAAUAUAUAUAUGCAGCUGCAGCAUAGGCCACUAUGGUUCAACCAAAAAUAUAAAUUGGUAGUCUACUUCAGGAGAAAACCCUGACUUCAACAAUUAAUUAUGAGAAUUUUAUGAGCUCGUAAACAAAUGCAAGGGAAAGUUAUGCCUUACUUCUCUUCUGAACUCAGCCAAAGCAGCUCCUGAGAAGUCCUGGUCCAAAAAUUUCUUGACAGCAACUUCCUAAAUUCAACCACAACAAAGACGCAGAAAAAUAAAGUUGAAGCCUUCCACUUAUCGGAUAAAAGAUGAGAUACUACCGCACGGGCAUAGCUAUUUUAAGUAAGGAAAAUUAUUAAAGCUAAACAAACUAAAAAGACAACAGCUAGUACUGAUGAGAUAGCAACAGACGAUGCCAUACAUGCCCCUGAUGAAUUGGUGAUCAAACAAGCUUAUCUAAAAGUGCUUUUCAAAAACUAUUCACUUAAAGAACACAAUCACUACUUUGAGUGUUCAAAAGACCACACAUUCACCUAGACGCUGCAUUUAGCUGUUUGAAGUCAUGUCAUUUAACACACUCUUAAAUCUUCCAGACGAUAACAAAUUUGAACUAACUUAGAGCAAUUUCUUGAAAAAAAUAACAGAUGAAAGUUACUACAACAGCAAUUUUAUGAAGUCAAACUGUAAGGUUCUGCAAAAACUAACCGUGCCAUUCCAGUCAGCAUUAUAGACCUCCCCAUAGGACCCUAACCAAAACAAGAUAAACAUUAGAACAUAGCUAUCCCAAAAAGCUAGACUAAUAUUUCGGAGAUUUAAGAAAAUAACUGGAAGGCCUCAUUACCUAAUCCUAUUCUCUCCCCAAUCACAAGAUCCUUCCAAGGGAUUUCACAUUCACCAACAUCAGCAUCAUCAAGAACUUGAGGAUCAUUCCGGUAGGAUGUAGAAUCAAGAGAGGAACUCGUGCUUUCAUGAUCCUUAAGCCUCGGAUCAGACCCAGUAGAUAUGUCAUCACUUGUGUACUUUCUAUGAUCGUCAACGUGAGAUUCAUCCUUUUGGUAUCCAACAACAGCAUUAGGCUGGAGAUCUAGUUCACUGCUGGUGUUUCUAUUCAUAUCAUCUACCAUACUUGGUGUGAACUGAUUUCCAUUGGAACUGAAGGGUGGUGGUGCAGCAACAACAGGUGACACAAAAGUGGAAUUGUUUCUACCAUGCAUAUUUGACGAAACCGCUACACCGGAGCUUGAGGUAGCGUAUGAGGAAUUAUUGUUUCCGUAACGAGGAUCACGGUGGAGUUUCGGGAGAAUAUUCUCCUUUCGCUUUGGGGCUUCAUUGCAACUGUAGUUUUUCCACAUCAUCGGUGCAGGAGACUUACCAACCAGAGGAUUGUUUUUUGGUUGAUGAAAAUCAUCAACAUUAUUCAACCCUGAUUUAGUGGGCAUGAACAGCUUGUCGGUUCCCUUGUUCUGAAACGGGUUAAGGUCUGCGAAAAGGUUUUUUGGGUCUUCCUCAGUGUUCUGAUUGUAUGGAACUAUGUUCACGUUCGUUCUUGAACUAUCAUUUACGGCUCCUCGACUCCCCUUUGCAACUGUAUUCAAGGAAAUAUUCUCCAACUGGCUCGAACUAGUUACGCUAGAAGGUGAAGCUCUCAAAUCUGAAUUCCUGAUUCCAGACUCUCGAUUUCUAUCCAAAGAAGAAUUGUUGUCAGCUAUACAACUCUGACUACUGCCUUCACCUUCUGAAAGCUUUGGCGCCGAGUGCCGAAAGUCAUCGGACAACUGAGCAGUGGGAAGUUUGUUUCCAUGCGAGUUAUUUGGCUCAAUCGCAAUAUCAGCAGGUAUAAGCGUCCCAGGAUCCGUCAUAAGAUCGACCAAGUACUCUCUGAAAGGAGGUAUGAUAUGUUACAUCUUCGCAACAAAAAUACAAAAUGAAACAUUACUGGAAUCAUAGUGAGAAGAAUGAAAGAACCUAUUAUCUUCAAGCCUUAUUGUGUUCACAGCAUCAUCCUCGUUGCCCGUGUAAUGGCUACCUUUUACCAACCUACAAGGUAACUGGACACUAUCUGCCAAAACCUACAUUGGGAGAAGUAAACUGCCCACAAAUUAAUUUCUAUCAAACAAGAUAUAGCAUAAGCAGCAAAGGCAUCUGCCUAGGUGCAAAAAAAAAAAAGUUGUGGAUGUCUCAUUCAAACAAGGUACCACCUAUACUAUAUCAAUCAAUGGUAAGCUGAAGAUUCCAGUGCAAGAGGUUGAAACUCAAUGAAAUUACAAAAGAUAUCUAUAUGUACAACAAACCGUCUCAAUAUUCAAUUCACGUCACAAGGCAUUCGCUGCGACAAAAGGUAUAUCUAUAUGUACAACAAAUCAUCUCUAAAAGUUACAAUUUUAGAAAUUAUUUACUUUUUAUGUCUCGAGUGCUUAAUCAUGGCCUAAGCGUAAUGAUGCUAUAAAUAUAUCUCUAAUCAUAUUAUAAAACUAUUGUGACAACCCGCCCCAUGGGAACUAUCCACCCGUGGCCCAGGUUCACAUCCCGCAGGGUACCGACCCUAACCCCUCCAUUAUGAAUCCUCUCUGACUCCAUAAUUAGGUUAUUGGUGCGCUUGGCGUUACUCGAACCCAUGACAAGCUGUCAAUUGGUCACAACUUGUCAUGUGAGAGUGUUGUUAAAGGGUGAGGUAUUGGGUUCGAGUAACGCCAAACGCAUCAAUAAUAAACUACAUGGGGAAUGAGUGAGGGCUCACAUGUAAGGGAUCUGUGAGCCGGGUUGUGAGCGGGAGGGGUUGUCACAAUUAUAUUCAUACUGCAAACUAGAUCCAGGAAGAGGCGUUUGGAAGAUAACCUUGAAAAGCAGAGCACGAUGCCUGGAGAGACCAAUAUUUACAAAACCAAGAGGGAAUACACAAGUGUUCAACGCAGCCUUGUACUCGCUGCUUUUCUCAGUCCACCUUGCCAAAACAAUACUCGAAUCCUCGGCAGAUCCACCCAUAUGCCCUGUGACAAGCUCCGCCAGCCUCUCUACCAGCACGUCAACGCUAGCGGAACGACAAUCCUGCGCAAUGCACUGCGCAAUCUGCACCAACUCGUCAAGAGAAGUAUCAACGGGACGAUUCACAACCACAGCUUCGAAUCCACGUGUCCCUCGAUUGCUCUCGAGAUGUUCUAAGGACGGCAUAUCUCCCUGCUUAGCUGAGUCUGUGGUGAGACUGUAAACGUCGUAGAAUCCAUCUACGAUCUUCUCCUCGUAAUCAAGCACACCGUAUUCCUAAGAGAAGAAGCAUUAUAACAGGUUCAAAGAAGAAACAAUGCAUACAAAUUGUCCUAACAAACUUUUUACAAUUUUUCUUAGAUUGAAUCUUUUCCUCUGCUAACAUUCUCUAUAACCUAUGAAACUCCAUUCAUCUCCUGCCACGUGUCUUCAUCCCUCUUUUACCUGUAUCAGCGAGAACAACUUACCCAGUACUGCCUCGAUAGCCUCUGGGCGAUAACCUCCGACGAAUCCCUCCUCGGAUCCAUCCGAUGAUGGCUUCCUAAGCUCAGAAGCGUCGCGGCUCGGAUCUGAUGCUUCUCGGGAUCCUCGCCGGACUGCGAGUUCGAAGCGCUGAUCGCUAGGGCUAGCUGGACUUGGUACUCCUCCUCUGACGAUAUGUAAUCGGAACGGUUCGUCGUGGCGGCGGAGACUGGAGCGGGAGAGGUUGUUGUCGAAGAAGCGGUUACGCUCGCCGCCGGAAUCGACUCCGUUGAGCCUGAUUGAGGAUUCGCGGCGGUUUGUAUCCGAUUCUGAUCCGACGGUGGAGCUCCUGCUGCUGCAUCGUUGGUCCGAUUCUGAUCCUGAUUGCCGCCUCUGUGUAGCUUCUUGAAGAUAUGCUUCAUCGUUUCGCCGUGAGAUUCUUCGGUUUGGUGAGGGGAAGUAGUGAAAAGUGACGACGGAGGACUUGGCCGGCGAUGAAAUAGAGAGGGAAUCGAAUUACGAUUAUGCCACUGUGUUGACCUUGUUUGUUUUAUUAUCCAAUGGCGAUGAAGCGAAAGAGGGAAUGUGACACGUGGCAUGCGGAUCCACACGCUGGAAACUUUUUACGCGGCUAAAAGGGUAAAAGUGUGAAUAAAAUGAAAUAUUUUUCUUUUAUUGUAUGUCGGAAAAAAUUCUCAUGUACUGUAUACACUUCUUCUCUAGAUGCAAAAGGGUUUCAAUCCAUAGCCAUACGAUUUGUAAGAUCACAAAAGUUUAACACCUAAAAGGUAAAACCUAGGCCUGGGCAUUUCGCCUGGAUUUAAAAAUUCGAACUCGAAUCGAACCAAUAAUACCGAACCCGAAAAUUUACAAGUAUCUAGAUGAUCAAAAAUUCUUAUACUUGGAAGAAACGAAGCUGAAAAGAACCAACACAAAUAGAUCUGAUCCGUUAAAAAUCAAUUCAUACCCGAUUUAAGAAUAUCAAUAUCUAAAAUAUGAUUUUGUAACAUUUUAAAUAAUGUAAAAAUUUAAAUAUAAAUUUAGAGAUUAAAGUUUCAAUUAGUAACAGUUUUUUUUUGUUAUUUUGCAAAAUUUAAAAUAAAUAUGACAAACUUUAGCUAAAUUUGAUGCGUUAUUUAUUUAUGAAGACAUUUUUACUAUAUGGUUCAAUAUUGUACACAUUCCAUCUUUGAUCGGAUGUAUCUAUUGUUUGGGGAGGAGUUUGAGGUGGUUUUGGUAAUCAAUAUCAAUGUUUUAAUUAAAAAGGUGGAACUAUUUUCUUAAGUUUUUGAGUAACUAGCAUGUAUUUUGGUGUGUAAUAUUUGUUUUUAUAGGUUUCAGUUUAAACUUCACUCCUGUAGUGGCUACAUUUGCUAAUUACUCCAAAGAGUAAAACAGUUAUCACCAUUAUAAGCAAUGACAGCAUAAAUAAAUAAAUGAAUUUUAAUUAUUUAUUUUCUUAUUUUUAGUAAAAUAGAAUUCUCUCCAACCACAUGUAUUUUUUCAAAUGGAUUUUGAUCAUUUACAGGCUGCCAAGAUUCUUCCUGCAUAUGAAGAUUUUCAGAUCGAUCAUAAACAAAAUAACUGAUAACCAGGUUUGAGUGUGGAUGAUUAUAAGACAUGUGGGGACAGGGCUCUACGUACUCGGAAUCAUAAGGUAUAUCAAAUGGAUUUUGAUCAUUUACAGGCUGCCAAGAUUCUUCCUGCAUAUGAAGAUUUAGAUCAAUCAUAAACAAAAUAACUGAUAACCGUUUGAGUGUGGAUGAUUUAUAAACAUCUAAGAGAAAAAUGCAAAGAAAAAGUGGAACCAUGUAAGGGGAGUAUGCAAAAUUCCAUAUUCCAUAUUGGGAAAUUAAGAAGAGUAAUUAACUUUUCACUUAAUCAGGUAUAGAAGAAGGCUUCGAGGACACUAAAGAUCAAUAACAUUUCCUAUCAGGGGCGAAGGCAGGUUAUGAGUAGAGAGUGCAUGUGCAUCCAUAGAAAUAAUAAAAUUUAAAAUUUUAAGCUUAAAACAAGUAGAAUUUGACAGGUAAAAUGGUAAAAGGCAAGUUGUGCACCCACGCUAACUCAAGUUCGAUUAUCUUCUAUGUUUUUUUUAUUAAUAGUGCACCCAUGCCAAGUAUCUUCUGGCUUCGCCCCUGUUUCCUAUUACCUAAGCUCAAGUCAAAGAGUAACAACGAAGCUCAUCAGUUGCGAACUCAGUAGAGAGAAGAAAGAUAAAAUACUUUCAAGGUUAUUGCAGCGACGACUUGGUGGGAGCUUUAGAAGUCCACGAAUGAUUUUCUCGUUUCGUUCUUCUUCUCUUUUACUUCCCAUUUCUCCAACCAACAACCAAAAAAAUGGAAUACAUACAAAUUGAAUAGUGGCAGUUAGAAAGAAAAAAACAUGAAUGGUAGUUUUUUUUUUUGCAGGAAUGUAGUGAAAUGAAAAUAUAUUUAGUAUAUGUAAGCAAAAGUUAUUAUUUUAUAUAAUUUUUAAUUUAUUUUUAUUUUUUGUUUCUGCUUUUUUUUACUUAGAUCAUUACAUUGCUUUCAUAUAUUCAAUUGGAAUUAGUGGAAUACAUUUUAUUUUUCAUUCCAAUCAAAUUGUAAUAUUUUUGUGGAAUCUUCAUGAAUGUCUCAUUGCACAUAGUUUUCAAAAAUGUACAUCCAAUUGCAGCCUUAGUUUAUUCCAUUCAUUUUCAGAUUGACAUAGUCAAUAUUGAUCUUGUAAUUUCUAAAACUAUAAAUAUGAAAAAUGGUUGAUCACGUUAGUUUCGCUGACUUUGUUCUAUUUUUCUAUUUUUCACAAGUAUGAAUAAAAUAAACUAUUUUUAUCUUAUUUGUUGUGUAUAUAUAUUAAAAAUGUUAGGAAAUUUUUUUUAAAACAAAAUUACAAAUCAUUGUUUAUACUAUCUCUUAUCAGAUAUUGAGCCAUGAAGUCUUCUAUCUUCUUCGUUGUUUUUUGUGUUGUUUUGUUGCUCGUUUUGAACUAUCGUGAAGGUAUAUAUCAAUAUACUCGUUUUAUGACUAAUAAUUUGCAGGAAAUAUAAUUAUCAAUCCAAUUCUCAAUUUGCUGCAUUAUCAAAAGAAAACCUAAAUUUUUUUUUAUUACAUAAUUUUAAAUUGAAAACUCAUUUUUAUCCUUUCUCUUAUCAGAUAUCCAGCUACGAAGUUUCCUAUAUUUCUGUUUUUAUUAUUUAAUUUUGAAAAAAAAUAGUAGAGUUCAUUGAAUUACUAUUAAUCCUAAUUAAAAAUAUUAAAAUUAUAUAUUUAUAAUAAUAUUUUUAAUAAUAUAAAAAAUCUUCAUGAAAAUAAUUUUUUGAUACAUUGAAUUUCUUAAUCUUCAUAUUGACGUAGUUAACUAUGAUUUUGAAAUUUCCAAAUUUAGUGUAAAAAAUAUUAAAACAAGAUGAUCACGUUAAUUUCGUUGACAUUGCUUUAUUUUUCUAUUUUUUAAAAGUGUAAUUAAACAAACUAUUUUAUCUUAUCUAUUGUGUAUAUUUAUUAUGAGCGUUAGAAACUUUUUUUUAACAAAAAGACAAAUCAUUUUUUUUUAUGAUAUCUCUGAUCAAAUAAUAAGUCAUGAAGUCUCCUAUUUUAUUCAUUGUUUCUUGUGUUUUCACAUGAUUUUUUGUCGACUUGUUUCUUGUGUUGAUUUGUUGCUCGUUUUGAGCUAUCCAGAAGGCAUAUAUUAAUUUUUGUUUUAUGACUAAUAAUUUGCAGAAAAUAGAGUUUUUUUUUAACCAUUUGGAAAAUAGAGUUAUCAACCUGAUUUCAAUUUUCUGCAUUAUCAAAAGAAAACUAAUUUUUAUUUAUUAAAUAAAUCUUCUUUCCAUCGUUACUAUAAAACAGGAGAAGCAAUAGCUCUUCGCUACAGGUGUAACGUUACAAUGAAGGGUCGUGGAACAUGCGGAAAUAAUGGAAUACAGCGUUGUCUCAAUGAUUCCAAGGAAACCAAAUACUUUCGACUUGUUGAUCAAUGCAGUAAAUGUGAAGACUCUAAACCCCCUAAAUAUCGUACCUGCAGUUGCAGUCAACCUAACCCUUACCAAUGCAAAUAAAUUCAUAUCGGGGUCAAUUAUGCAUCCAAUAUAAAAAGAUAUAUUUUAAUUUUAUUUUCUUAGUAAUAUAUAUAUAUAUAUAUAUAUAUAACACACUUCCAACCUGAUUUCAAUUUUCUGCAUUAUCAAAAGAAAACUAAUUUUUAUUUAUUAAAUAAAUCUUCUUUCCAUGGUUACUAUAAAACAGGAGAUGGGGAAUGAGUGAGGGCUCACAUGUAAGGGAUCUGUGAGCCGGGUUGUGAGCGGGAGGGGUUGUCACAAUUAUAUUCAUACUGCAAACUAGAUCCAGGAAGAGGCGUUUGGAAGAUAACCUUGAAAAGCAGAGCACGAUGCCUGGAGAGACCAAUAUUUACAAAACCAAGAGGGAAUACACAAGUGUUCAACGCAGCCUUGUACUCGCUGCUUUUCUCAGUCCACCUUGCCAAUACAAUACUCGAAUCCUCCGCAGAUCCACCCAUAUGCCCUGUGACAAGCUCCGCCAGCCUCUCUACCAGCACGUCAACACUAGCGGAACGACAAUCCUGUGAAAUGCAUUGCGCAAUCUGCACCAACUCGUCAAGAGAAGUAUCAACGGGACGAUUCACAACCACAGCUUCGAAUCCACGUGUCCCUCGAUUGCUCUCGAGAUCUUCUAACGACGGCAUAUCUCCCUGCUUAGCUGAGUCUGUGGUGAGACUGUAAACGUCGUAGAAUCCAUCUACGAUCUUCUCCUCGUAAUCAAGCACACCGUAUUCCUAAGAGAAGAAGCAUUAUAACAGGUUCAAAGAAGAAACAAUGCAUACAAAUUGUCCUAACAAACUUUUUACAAUUUUUCUUAGAUUGAAUCUUUCCCUCUGCUAACAUUCUCUAUAACCUAUGAAACUCCAUUCAUCUCCUGCCACGUGUCUUCAUCCCUCUUUUACCUGUAUCAGCGAGAACAACUUACCCAGUACUGCCUCGAUAGCCUCUGGGCGAUAACCUCCGACGAAUCCCUCCUCGGAUCCAUCCGAUGAUGGCUUCCUAAGCUCAGAAGCGUCGCGGCUCGGAUCUGAUGCUUCUCGGGAUCCUCGCCGGACUGCGAGUUCGAAGCGCUGAUCGCUAGGGCUAGCUGGACUUGGUACUCCUCCUCUGACGAUAUGUAAUCGGAACGGUUCGUCGUGGCGGCGGAGACUGGAGCGGGAGAGGUUGUUGUCGAAGAAGCGGUUACGCUCGCCGCCGGAAUCGACUCCGUUGAGGCUGAUUGAGGAUUCACGGCGGUUUGUAUCCGAUUCUGAUCCGACGGUGGAGCUCCUGCUGCUGCAUCGUUGGUCCGAUUCUGAUCCUGAUUGCCGCCUCUGUGUAGCUUCUUGAAGAUAUGCUUCAUCGUUUCGCCGUGAGAUUCUUCGGUUUGGUGAGGGGAAGUAGUGAAAAGUGACGACGGAGGACUUGGCCGGCGAUGAAAUAGAGAGGGAAUCGAAUUACGAUUAUGCCACUGUGUUGACCUUGUUUGUUUUAUUAUCCAAUGGCGAUGAAGCGAAAGAGGGAAUGUGACACGUGGCAUGCGGAUCCACACGCUGGAAACUUUUUACGCGGCUAAAAGGGUAAAAGUGUGAAUAAAAUGAAAUAUUUUUCUUUUAUUGUAUGUCGGAAAAAAUUCUCAUGUACUGUAUACACUUCUUCUCUAGAUGCAAAAGGGUUUCAAUCCAUAGCCAUACGAUUUGUAAGAUCACAAAAGUUUAACACCUAAAAGGUAAAACCUAGGCCUGGGCAUUUCGCCUGGAUUUAAAAAUUCGAACUCGAAUCGAACCAAUAAUACCGAACCCGAAAAUUUACAAGUAUCUAGAUGAUCAAAAAUUCUUAUACUUGGAAGAAACGAAGCUGAAAAGAACCAACACAAAUAGAUCUGAUCCGUUAAAAAUCAAUUCAUACCCGAUUUAAGAAUAUCAAUAUCUAAAAUAUGAUUUUGUAACAUUUUAAAUAAUGUAAAAAUUUAAAUAUAAAUUUAGAGAUUAAAGUUUCAAUUAGUAACAGUUUUUUUUUGUUAUUUUGCAAAAUUUAAAAUAAAUAUGACAAACUUUAGCUAAAUUUGAUGCGUUAUUUAUUUAUGAAGACAUUUUUACUAUAUGGUUCAAUAUUGUACACAUUCCAUCUUUGAUCGGAUGUAUCUAUUGUUUGGGGAGGAGUUUGAGGUGGUUUUGGUAAUCAAUAUCAAUGUUUUAAUUAAAAAGGUGGAACUAUUUUCUUAAGUUUUUGAGUAACUAGCAUGUAUUUUGGUGUGUAAUAUUUGUUUUUAUAGGUUUCAGUUUAAACUUCACUCCUGUAGUGGCUACAUUUGCUAAUUACUCCAAAGAGUAAAACAGUUAUCACCAUUAUAAGCAAUGACAGCAUAAAUAAAUAAAUGAAUUUUAAUUAUUUAUUUUCUUAUUUUUAGUAAAAUAGAAUUCUCUCCAACCACAUGUAUUUUUUCAAAUGGAUUUUGAUCAUUUACAGGCUGCCAAGAUUCUUCCUGCAUAUGAAGAUUUUCAGAUCGAUCAUAAACAAAAUAACUGAUAACCAGGUUUGAGUGUGGAUGAUUAUAAGACAUGUGGGGACAGGGCUCUACGUACUCGGAAUCAUAAGGUAUAUCAAAUGGAUUUUGAUCAUUUACAGGCUGCCAAGAUUCUUCCUGCAUAUGAAGAUUUAGAUCAAUCAUAAACAAAAUAACUGAUAACCGUUUGAGUGUGGAUGAUUUAUAAACAUCUAAGAGAAAAAUGCAAAGAAAAAGUGGAACCAUGUAAGGGGAGUAUGCAAAAUUCCAUAUUCCAUAUUGGGAAAUUAAGAAGAGUAAUUAACUUUUCACUUAAUCAGGUAUAGAAGAAGGCUUCGAGGACACUAAAGAUCAAUAACAUUUCCUAUCAGGGGCGAAGGCAGGUUAUGAGUAGAGAGUGCAUGUGCAUCCAUAGAAAUAAUAAAAUUUAAAAUUUUAAGCUUAAAACAAGUAGAAUUUGACAGGUAAAAUGGUAAAAGGCAAGUUGUGCACCCACGCUAACUCAAGUUCGAUUAUCUUCUAUGUUUUUUUUAUUAAUAGUGCACCCAUGCCAAGUAUCUUCUGGCUUCGCCCCUGUUUCCUAUUACCUAAGCUCAAGUCAAAGAGUAACAACGAAGCUCAUCAGUUGCGAACUCAGUAGAGAGAAGAAAGAUAAAAUACUUUCAAGGUUAUUGCAGCGACGACUUGGUGGGAGCUUUAGAAGUCCACGAAUGAUUUUCUCGUUUCGUUCUUCUUCUCUUUUACUUCCCAUUUCUCCAACCAACAACCAAAAAAAUGGAAUACAUACAAAUUGAAUAGUGGCAGUUAGAAAGAAAAAAACAUGAAUGGUAGUUUUUUUUUUUGCAGGAAUGUAGUGAAAUGAAAAUAUAUUUAGUAUAUGUAAGCAAAAGUUAUUAUUUUAUAUAAUUUUUAAUUUAUUUUUAUUUUUUGUUUCUGCUUUUUUUUACUUAGAUCAUUACAUUGCUUUCAUAUAUUCAAUUGGAAUUAGUGGAAUACAUUUUAUUUUUCAUUCCAAUCAAAUUGUAAUAUUUUUGUGGAAUCUUCAUGAAUGUCUCAUUGCACAUAGUUUUCAAAAAUGUACAUCCAAUUGCAGCCUUAGUUUAUUCCAUUCAUUUUCAGAUUGACAUAGUCAAUAUUGAUCUUGUAAUUUCUAAAACUAUAAAUAUGAAAAAUGGUUGAUCACGUUAGUUUCGCUGACUUUGUUCUAUUUUUCUAUUUUUCACAAGUAUGAAUAAAAUAAACUAUUUUUAUCUUAUUUGUUGUGUAUAUAUAUUAAAAAUGUUAGGAAAUUUUUUUUAAAACAAAAUUACAAAUCAUUGUUUAUACUAUCUCUUAUCAGAUAUUGAGCCAUGAAGUCUUCUAUCUUCUUCGUUGUUUUUUGUGUUGUUUUGUUGCUCGUUUUGAACUAUCGUGAAGGUAUAUAUCAAUAUACUCGUUUUAUGACUAAUAAUUUGCAGGAAAUAUAAUUAUCAAUCCAAUUCUCAAUUUGCUGCAUUAUCAAAAGAAAACCUAAAUUUUUUUUUAUUACAUAAUUUUAAAUUGAAAACUCAUUUUUAUCCUUUCUCUUAUCAGAUAUCCAGCUACGAAGUUUCCUAUAUUUCUGUUUUUAUUAUUUAAUUUUGAAAAAAAAUAGUAGAGUUCAUUGAAUUACUAUUAAUCCUAAUUAAAAAUAUUAAAAUUAUAUAUUUAUAAUAAUAUUUUUAAUAAUAUAAAAAAUCUUCAUGAAAAUAAUUUUUUGAUACAUUGAAUUUCUUAAUCUUCAUAUUGACGUAGUUAACUAUGAUUUUGAAAUUUCCAAAUUUAGUGUAAAAAAUAUUAAAACAAGAUGAUCACGUUAAUUUCGUUGACAUUGCUUUAUUUUUCUAUUUUUUAAAAGUGUAAUUAAACAAACUAUUUUAUCUUAUCUAUUGUGUAUAUUUAUUAUGAGCGUUAGAAACUUUUUUUUAACAAAAAGACAAAUCAUUUUUUUUUAUGAUAUCUCUGAUCAAAUAAUAAGUCAUGAAGUCUCCUAUUUUAUUCAUUGUUUCUUGUGUUUUCACAUGAUUUUUUGUCGACUUGUUUCUUGUGUUGAUUUGUUGCUCGUUUUGAGCUAUCCAGAAGGCAUAUAUUAAUUUUUGUUUUAUGACUAAUAAUUUGCAGAAAAUAGAGUUUUUUUUUAACCAUUUGGAAAAUAGAGUUAUCAACCUGAUUUCAAUUUUCUGCAUUAUCAAAAGAAAACUAAUUUUUAUUUAUUAAAUAAAUCUUCUUUCCAUGGUUACUAUAAAACAGGAGAAGCAAUAGCUUUUCGCUACAGGUGUAACGUUACAAUGAAGGGUCGUGGAACAUGCGGAAAUAAUGGAAUACAGCGUUGUCUCAAUGAUUCCAAGGAAACCAAAUACUUUCGACUUGUUGAUCAAUGCAGUAAAUGUGAAGACUCUAAACCCCCUAAAUAUCGUACCUGCAGUUGCAGUCAACCUAACCCUUACCAAUGCAAAUAAAUUCAUAUUGGGGUCAAUUAUGCAUCCAAUAUAAAAAGAUAUAUUUUAAUUUUAUUUUCUUAGUAAUAUAUAUAUAUAUAUAUAUAAAUAAAAAAACGCAAUGUAUGCAGUGCCGGUCCGGACAUAGUUGACGCCUAAAGCGAACUAAAUGUUUUAUGCCCGUUACUUAUAAUAAUUUUUGUUUCUUUUUUAUGUAAUCAAAAUAAUCUCUUUUCAGAAUAAAAAUAAAAACUUCAAGACAUUAUUCAUGAAAAUUAAUUUUUGUUCUCUACAAUCCAUUGGUCAAUUUUUUUAAAAAAAAUUAUAACCCAUCUAAAUUACAUCAACACUAAGUUUAAUUUACAAAAAAGUGACAUGUUACAAUAAAACUGAAAAAUGCAACAAUCAAUAAACAAUAAAGGACAUAAUUUUGUUUAAACGACAAAGAAGAAUGAAGAAUCAAAUCACAUUUAACAUUUUAAUAUAAUUCAACAUAUACAAAAAUCAAAAUUGUUAAAAAAAGGGAAGAAACUAAUAUGUUUCAAAAUGCGGUUGUAUCUUGAGUUCUUGACUAAUGAUUUCACUUAUUAUCAUUAUUAAAAGAAUGUAAUAAAAUUUGAAAAAAAAAAGAAUCUGUGUGUGGCUUCGAACCUAGCACCCAUCUGGAACAAAUAGAAGUCUGAAACUAUAACACUAAAAGGAUUUACAAAAUUUUGGAGUCCUUAUAAUUUAUAUAUUCUCUGGCGCCUGAAACCUUUGCUUCAUGGGCUUUAGAACAAGGCCGGCCCUGCCCUGAAUAUACAAUAAGAAAUAACAAGACUCAAAUAAUAGUGUGUAAAGCAUAUCUUUAAUACACGACAAGAAUAGUUUUUUUUUUUCUUUUUAAAGAUGAAGCAUAAGAAGAUGAAGCAAAUAGGAAAAUGUCUAAGCAAAUGGAUUUCCUGUGCAUGGUAUAACAUAUAUCUACUCCUAUUCUGAUUCCAAUUAAAAGAUGUUAUUGUCUUCGAAUCUUAGCAUUUUCUAAUCAUAUUCUUUAACAAAAUACGUUCUCGUUAGCAUUUUCUAAUCAUUCUCUCUCAAACGCUCCAUGCAAGAAGAAAACCCACCGGUGAAGAAUCUAUUGUCACCGGCCCAGAGGUGCCAUCCUUUCCUUUCAGCUUGUUUUUCAUUUUCUUCUCUCUCCACCGUUUCUCUCCCUGUCGAUAUGUGUGUUGUUAUGAAUCUUUGGUGAUUCACCGAAAGCUUAACGUCAAAGGUGACUCUUUCCGAGGGCUUGGAGGAAUACGAGACUGACUGCGGAGCAGCGGUAGUGAUGGAGGUUGGCUUUUAGAGCUAAAGUGUGACUCCAGAUCUUAUUCCCCCCCCCGGCGAUCCCUCCACGACGACGGCGGUGCGUGACUCAGUGGAGCACCUUCUCCAACGUGGAUAUCCCCUCCCUAACGACGCGAACGUGGUGGUGGAAAAUGGUCCUUUCCUCGGUUCUCGGGGAAGGCAUGUCGCAAAGGCUUCAAGUCGUCGGAGUUGUCAACCGGUGGGAGGAGCUUUGUAGUAGGUAUGUGGUGGCUCUUUUGUCUCGUCGGCGGUACAGACCCACAUUUUUGGACGCCAUGUCUGCUGAGACGGGUCCAUUGCUGUUGCUGGUUGGUCAAGGCUCGCUUUUUUCAGUACGGAAUAGUUCCAUUGCAGUGAGGCAUUAGAGCUCUAUGACGAUUGGUCAAGUUGGGAUUGCACCGUUCGGUGAAGAAGCUUUGGUCCGAAAGCUGAACUCUCAUUAUAUGGCGAAUAUUGCUCAUAUUAAAAUGUUUUUUCCUUACUAGAACUAGUUACUCUUGGGUGUUAGUGUUUAUUCACUUUCUAUGGUUGAAUUUAGGUGGUUGUAAGUACUUUUUGGGUCUAAAUUUCUUUUACCCGAAAGAACCAAAACCAAAAAGAACCGAUUUGAAUAGACCCGAAAAUAACCGAUCCGAAUAGAUCCGACCUGAUAAGAAGCGAUUUGUACCCGACUUAUAAACAUGUAUAUCUAACACUAUGAUUUUUUGUGUUUUAUUUUAUAUAUUAUUUUAUGAUUUAGUUAAAAUAUCUUUUGUUAACAACAUUUGUUAUUAUUUUGUAACAUUUUAAGUGAUACGAAACUUUAAAAUAUAAAAUUUAGAGUUUAGAAAUAUUUUAUUUUAAUUAUUAAUAGUUUCAUUUAAGUUAUUUUGUAUAAUUUUAGAUAUAUAUAUAUAUAUAAGACAAAUAUCAACUAAAUUUGAUGGAGUUGGGUAUGUCAUGUCCUUUUCAGAUUCUAAGAAUCUGAGAAUCUGAAAAUUGUUUCUACAUAACCCGAGAAAAAUAGUCAAGGCAAAACCUUUUUAACAGGUAUUAAAAAUUGUUUCUCCAUCACCUCCUCCCAUGUAUGUUCCUCUUGCAACUCCCCCACUCCAAGAAGCUAUGUUUCUUCUUUAGUGGUUGUUCUUGUAGUUGCUGGCUGCGUAAGCGCUUUUGUUCAUUAACUCCUUGUAGGUAUCGGUGUGUUCCAUUUCAGAAGUAAAGUGGAAAAUCAGUGAAUCCCUGCGUCUUAUCGGACAACUUCAGAAAUUAGAACACACACCACUCUUGAGGUAUUAAGUAAGAAGAAACAAAUCGAAGUUAUAUUAAUCAAACUUUCAGUAGUUGGGAUUUCAUGUUAUCACAGGAUCAAAGAUCAUACGUACCUUGGUCUACAAAGGCUUAUAAAACUUUUGAUAUUUUGCUUCUGGAGCUGUCAUCUCCUCGUAAAACUUUGAUUACAAAGGCUUAUAUCUUGUCAAAUUCCAGUUUCAGAGACCCGAGCUCAUUGAUUACAGUGCGAGACCUCUGGUGUACAAAGAAGUCCAAUUUUGAGAAUAUGACUAUGCCUGGUGACGACACUAAAAGAAUCACUUGAAGAGGUUAAAAAUAGAAAUACCUGACCUCCCUACUCCCAAACCUUGCUUGUGGAAGCUAUGCCUGCUAAUCUUGGUGGAAAGGAUUUUGUCUCAGAAAUCAAACUGCCAAAGAAGAACAAAACUUGAAACUCUUUCAUGAAAUUUCCAAAUACAAAAUCUGAAAAGAACAGAAUGAUCAUGUUUUUCCUCACGUCUAUUUAAGAAGCAUGAUAUAAAAAGUCUACAACAUUUUUCUCUCCAGGUGGCGGUACUCACAGCUGUAAACCCUUUACCACUAGAGCUAGAAGCUCCGGUUGCCUGAGCUAUAUUCAAACAUGUAAUCAAGGAGAACAAAAAGAAAACUGAUGAUGCUUAAUCUUCUCAGAACUCUUAACAGGCCAAAAGAAUCGUACAUGUUUCUCUAUAAGAUCAUUCAACGAACAUCAAAACGAAAUCAGAUCCUAGAAAUCGAGAGUGAACCUGACGACGAAGAGGAAUACAAAUUAUAAAUUGAAGUAACAAUAACAAUUGAAAAAGAUUGAAAACGAAAAAUCUGGAUUGAAAUAAUUUAUUAUCUGCCUUGGUGAAUGUAAGGACGAUGGUUGAGCUUCUGAAGCAAUAAAUUAGAGUUGUUCUUAAGCGUCGCAAACGACCGAGAAAAGAGUAGUGGGCUUUUAUGAUAUGUUAUAUUAAUGUUUUUAAAAAUAAAAAAAAACCAGAGCGUAGGUCCCUCAUAUUGCCGACGUGGAUGCCUUUAGGAAUGAGCAAAAACUGAUAUAUUAUAAUAUACUAGAUUUGGAUCCGUACAUUGCAACAAGCUUUAUUUAAUAUUUUAAUUUAAUACAAAAUAUUAAAAAAUCGUUUUAUUAUUGUUUUAAAAUUGUUUUGCAUAUGUUAUGUAAAAUUUAUUUUAUAGUUAAAAACUCUUUUUCAUACAUAAGUUUCAGUUAAUAUUUGUUAGAGCUAGAAAAAACAUUCAAACGUAAAAAUUUAAACCGGAUUUAAUCCGAAAUAAUAAUUAUAAUGAAAUAAAAAAAGAAUUUGGAAGUUAAAUAAGGCCAAGAAGCAAUGACAACAUUAUACACUUUCUUAUGUACUAAUUUAACGUUUUAUUAAACUAAUCUGAUGUUAAAUAAUUUUCUUGAUUUAUUACUUAUUAAUGAUAUAUUUUAGUAAUAACAUUUUAAUUAAAAUGAAUUAUAAUAAACUACUACAUAGUAAAAAUAAAAAAAUGUAAUAAGAUAACGAUUAAGCUUGAUUUGUUUUUGACUAAACAUAUGUACGAUGACAAUAAUAAUAACCAAUUUUUAUGAGUAAACAUGAGAAUAUAUAUAUAUCAAACGUGUCUUUAAUUUUCGUAUAACCAAACACAUAAAUACCAAUCACGACAACAUCCUAAGUUUUGAUUUUUGUUAAUUUAAUAGCUUUAGAAACUUACUUGUCAUAAAAUUCUUUUUUAAAAAUAUUAUUAAAUAGGUAUAUUUACUUUUGUUAGGAUUUUUUAAAAAGGAUUUUUUUUUUUUUGCAAAUUUCGUUUUUAUUUACAAUUAAAAAAAAAAAGAAAAACAAUCAAAAACUUUUUUAUGUUUUUGUUUACGAUUUUAAAAAAGGAAAAGUAUCUUAUUAUAUAAACUUUUACAAUUAUCUUAUGUUUAGAAUUUCAGAAAAAUCUUAUUGCUAUCAAAUAGUUAUUUCUAGUUACUAUUAAAUAAUUUUAAAAUUAUGAUUUUUACAGUUCAUAUCAAUACUUUUUUUACAGUUCAUUUUUAAUCAAAUAAUUUUUGGUAUUAUGUUCAUCAUCAAAUUUUCUCUUAAAAUAUACUAUCAAAUAACCUCUUACAAUUUUCUUUUGGUCAUGAAUUAAAAAAUAUGAUACAAAUCUCUUUUGUUUAGGAUUUUCUUUUUUAAGGAAAAGAACUAUCAAAUAUUUUUUACAGUUUUAGGGUGUUAGAAAAGAAAAUUAAAAUUACAUAAUAAUUUAUAAUUUUUUUCUACGAUUUAGAAAAUCAAAACACUAUCAAAUAAUUAUUUCCAGCAAAUAUUAACUAUUUUAAAAAGUUGUUCUUUUCAAAAUUCGUUUUCUCAAUAUCACUAAUAUUUUUAAUUAAAUAUUUUCAAUAUCACAUUUAUCAUUAAAUUUUAAGAGUCCUUUUACAUUUUUAUUUUCUUAGGUUUUAAAAAGGGAAUAUCACUUAUUUUGUAGUUAGUUUUUCUAUUUGAUUUUUAUUAAAUAAUUUCUUGUACUUGUAAGAUUUUAUAAUUAGUUUUUAUUUAAGAUUUUGUUUUUAAAAAUUUAAUAUUUUCUUUUAUAAUAUCUUUCUUUAGUAUCUUUAAAGAUGAAAAAUAUAAAAAAUAUUUUAAAAAGAAAAAAAAACUUCCAAAUAGCUUUUUACAAUCAUUCUUUGUUUAAGCGAUUUGUACCCGACUUAUAAACAUGUAUAUCUAACACUAUGAUUUUUUGUGUUUUAUUUUAUAUAUUAUUUUAUGAUUUAGUUAAAAUAUCUUUUGUUAACAACAUUUGUUAUUAUUUUGUAACAUUUUAAGUGAUACGAAACUUUAAAAUAUAAAAUUUAGAGUUUAGAAAUAUUUUAUUUUAAUUAUUAAUAGUUUCAUUUAAGUUAUUUUGUAUAAUUUUAGAUAUAUAUAUAUAUAUAAGACAAAUAUCAACUAAAUUUGAUGGAGUUGGGUAUGUCAUGUCCUUUUCAGAUUCUAAGAAUCUGAGAAUCUGAAAAUUGUUUCUACAUAACCCGAGAAAAAUAGUCAAGGCAAAACCUUUUUAACAGGUAUUAAAAAUUGUUUCUCCAUCACCUCCUCCCAUGUAUGUUCCUCUUGCAACUCCCCCACUCCAAGAAGCUAUGUUUCUUCUUUAGUGGUUGUUCUUGUAGUUGCUGGCUGCGUAAGCGCUUUUGUUCAUUAACUCCUUGUAGGUAUCGGUGUGUUCCAUUUCAGAAGUAAAGUGGAAAAUCAGUGAAUCCCUGCGUCUUAUCGGACAACUUCAGAAAUUAGAACACACACCACUCUUGAGGUAUUAAGUAAGAAGAAACAAAUCGAAGUUAUAUUAAUCAAACUUUCAGUAGUUGGGAUUUCAUGUUAUCACAGGAUCAAAGAUCAUACGUACCUUGGUCUACAAAGGCUUAUAAAACUUUUGAUAUUUUGCUUCUGGAGCUGUCAUCUCCUCGUAAAACUUUGAUUACAAAGGCUUAUAUCUUGUCAAAUUCCAGUUUCAGAGACCCGAGCUCAUUGAUUACAGUGCGAGACCUCUGGUGUACAAAGAAGUCCAAUUUUGAGAAUAUGACUAUGCCUGGUGACGACACUAAAAGAAUCACUUGAAGAGGUUAAAAAUAGAAAUACCUGACCUCCCUACUCCCAAACCUUGCUUGUGGAAGCUAUGCCUGCUAAUCUUGGUGGAAAGGAUUUUGUCUCAGAAAUCAAACUGCCAAAGAAGAACAAAACUUGAAACUCUUUCAUGAAAUUUCCAAAUACAAAAUCUGAAAAGAACAGAAUGAUCAUGUUUUUCCUCACGUCUAUUUAAGAAGCAUGAUAUAAAAAGUCUACAACAUUUUUCUCUCCAGGUGGCGGUACUCACAGCUGUAAACCCUUUACCACUAGAGCUAGAAGCUCCGGUUGCCUGAGCUAUAUUCAAACAUGUAAUCAAGGAGAACAAAAAGAAAACUGAUGAUGCUUAAUCUUCUCAGAACUCUUAACAGGCCAAAAGAAUCGUACAUGUUUCUCUAUAAGAUCAUUCAACGAACAUCAAAACGAAAUCAGAUCCUAGAAAUCGAGAGUGAACCUGACGACGAAGAGGAAUACAAAUUAUAAAUUGAAGUAACAAUAACAAUUGAAAAAGAUUGAAAACGAAAAAUCUGGAUUGAAAUAAUUUAUUAUCUGCCUUGGUGAAUGUAAGGACGAUGGUUGAGCUUCUGAAGCAAUAAAUUAGAGUUGUUCUUAAGCGUCGCAAACGACCGAGAAAAGAGUAGUGGGCUUUUAUGAUAUGUUAUAUUAAUGUUUUUAAAAAUAAAAAAAAACCAGAGCGUAGGUCCCUCAUAUUGCCGACGUGGAUGCCUUUAGGAAUGAGCAAAAACUGAUAUAUUAUAAUAUACUAGAUUUGGAUCCGUACAUUGCAACAAGCUUUAUUUAAUAUUUUAAUUUAAUACAAAAUAUUAAAAAAUCGUUUUAUUAUUGUUUUAAAAUUGUUUUGCAUAUGUUAUGUAAAAUUUAUUUUAUAGUUAAAAACUCUUUUUCAUACAUAAGUUUCAGUUAAUAUUUGUUAGAGCUAGAAAAAACAUUCAAACGUAAAAAUUUAAACCGGAUUUAAUCCGAAAUAAUAAUUAUAAUGAAAUAAAAAAAGAAUUUGGAAGUUAAAUAAGGCCAAGAAGCAAUGACAACAUUAUACACUUUCUUAUGUACUAAUUUAACGUUUUAUUAAACUAAUCUGAUGUUAAAUAAUUUUCUUGAUUUAUUACUUAUUAAUGAUAUAUUUUAGUAAUAACAUUUUAAUUAAAAUGAAUUAUAAUAAACUACUACAUAGUAAAAAUAAAAAAAUGUAAUAAGAUAACGAUUAAGCUUGAUUUGUUUUUGACUAAACAUAUGUACGAUGACAAUAAUAAUAACCAAUUUUUAUGAGUAAACAUGAGAAUAUAUAUAUAUCAAACGUGUCUUUAAUUUUCGUAUAACCAAACACAUAAAUACCAAUCACGACAACAUCCUAAGUUUUGAUUUUUGUUAAUUUAAUAGCUUUAGAAACUUACUUGUCAUAAAAUUCUUUUUUAAAAAUAUUAUUAAAUAGGUAUAUUUACUUUUGUUAGGAUUUUUUAAAAAGGAUUUUUUUUUUUUUGCAAAUUUCGUUUUUAUUUACAAUUAAAAAAAAAAAGAAAAACAAUCAAAAACUUUUUUAUGUUUUUGUUUACGAUUUUAAAAAAGGAAAAGUAUCUUAUUAUAUAAACUUUUACAAUUAUCUUAUGUUUAGAAUUUCAGAAAAAUCUUAUUGCUAUCAAAUAGUUAUUUCUAGUUACUAUUAAAUAAUUUUAAAAUUAUGAUUUUUACAGUUCAUAUCAAUACUUUUUUUACAGUUCAUUUUUAAUCAAAUAAUUUUUGGUAUUAUGUUCAUCAUCAAAUUUUCUCUUAAAAUAUACUAUCAAAUAACCUCUUACAAUUUUCUUUUGGUCAUGAAUUAAAAAAUAUGAUACAAAUCUCUUUUGUUUAGGAUUUUCUUUUUUAAGGAAAAGAACUAUCAAAUAUUUUUUACAGUUUUAGGGUGUUAGAAAAGAAAAUUAAAAUUACAUAAUAAUUUAUAAUUUUUUUCUACGAUUUAGAAAAUCAAAACACUAUCAAAUAAUUAUUUCCAGCAAAUAUUAACUAUUUUAAAAAGUUGUUCUUUUCAAAAUUCGUUUUCUCAAUAUCACUAAUAUUUUUAAUUAAAUAUUUUCAAUAUCACAUUUAUCAUUAAAUUUUAAGAGUCCUUUUACAUUUUUAUUUUCUUAGGUUUUAAAAAGGGAAUAUCACUUAUUUUGUAGUUAGUUUUUCUAUUUGAUUUUUAUUAAAUAAUUUCUUGUACUUGUAAGAUUUUAUAAUUAGUUUUUAUUUAAGAUUUUGUUUUUAAAAAUUUAAUAUUUUCUUUUAUAAUAUCUUUCUUUAGUAUCUUUAAAGAUGAAAAAUAUAAAAAAUAUUUUAAAAAGAAAAAAAAACUUCCAAAUAGCUUUUUACAAUCAUUCUUUGUUUAUAGAAUUUUCAAAAUUAAAUUUACUAUCAAAUAUUUUUAAAAGACUAUAAAAGAACCAUGAAAAUAUAAUUGUUAAAGGCUAUGUAAUAGUAAUUUUCCUUUUCUAAACUCCUAAAAAUAACAAUAAACUAUUUUGGGUAAUAAUUUUCCUUUUCUAGUGUCCGAAAAAUGUAAUAAUAAAUUUCAAUCUUUUUAAUUCCUUAUAAAAGAGAAUUAUAACAUAUUUUUGACACAUGUCACAAUCUUAAUAAAUUAAUUGACACAUGUCGCGAUCAUGUUAAUUAGCAACUUUGAAAAACCAAGCAAUUUUUACUUCAAUAAUUUAAUGAUAAACAUGAUAGUAACAAUUAUUCAAUUAACAAGAAAAAUUGUAACAAUAUUAAUGAUAUUGAAAAAAAGAAAAUUUUGAAAAUUGCAACUUUUAAAAUAUUUAAUAUUAACUGGAAAUAGUUAUUUGAUAUAAAUUCUAUUUUUUUAAAUCCUAGACAAAAUAUAAUUGUAAAAUAUUAUGUAAUAUUAUUUUUAUUUUCUAAAAUCAUACAAAACUGUAAAAGAAUAUUUGAUAGAUGUUUUCCUCUUUUAUAAAAAAAAAUCCUGAACAAAAGAAAUUUGUAUAAUACUUUUUAGUCCUAACGAAAAGAGAAUUGUAAACAUAUAUAUGAUAUUAUUUUUAAGAGAGUGUUUGAUGAUGAGCAUGAUAGAAUUUUAAGAGAGCUUUAUUUGAUAUUUUAUUUUAAAAAAAAAUAUUAAAAAUCAUUUUAUUAUUGUUUUUAAAUUAUUUUGCAUAUAUUAUGUGAACUUUAUUUUAUAAUUAAGAACUCUUUUUUACACAUAAGUUUCAGUUAAUAUUUGUUAGAGCUAGAAAAAACAUUCAAACGUAAAAAUUUAAACAGGAUCCAACCCGAAAUAAUAAUUAUAAUGAAAUAAAAAGGAAUUUGGAAGUUAAAUAAGGCCAAGAAGAAAUAACAACCUUAUACACUUUCUUAUGUACUAAUUUAAUGUUUUAUUAAACUUAUCUGAUGUUAAAUAAUUUUCUGGAUUCAUUAUUUAUUAAUGAUAUAUUUUCAUAAUAAUAUUUUAAUUAAAAUAAAUAAUAAACUACUACAUAGUAAAAUAAAAAAUGUAAUAAGAUAACGAUGAAGCUUGAUUUGUUUUGACUAAACAUAUGUACGGUGACAGUAAUAAUAAUCAAUUUUUAUGAGCAAACAUGAGAAUAUAUAUAUCAAACAUGUGUUUGACUGUCGUAUAACCAAACACAUAAAUACCAAUCACGAUAACAUUCUAAGUUUUGGUUUUUGUAAAUUUAAUAGCUUUAACAUCAUACUUGUCAUCUAUUUUUUUUUCUAAAAUACUAUUAAAUAUGUAUGUUUACUUUUGUUGGGAUUUUUUUUUUAAAGGAAAAAAAUUAUAUUUUACAAAUCUUGUUUUUGUUUACAAUUAAAAAAAAGAAAAACUAUCAAAAACUUUUUAUAUUUUUGUUUACGAUUUUAGAAAAGGAAAAGUAUUAUCAAAUAAACUUUUACAAUUAUCUUCUGUUUAGAAUUUCAGAAAAAUCUUAUUGCUAUCAAAUAAUUAUUUCUAGUUACUAUUAAAUAAUUUUAAAAGUAUGAUUUUUACAGCUCAUAUCAAUACUAUUUUUACACUUCAUUUUUGAUUAAAUAAUUUUUAGUAUCAUGUUCUUCAUCAAAUUUUCUUUUAAAAUAUACUAUCAAAUAACUUCUUACAAUUUUUUUUGGUUAGGAAUUAAAAAAUAUGAUACAAAUCUCUUUUGUUUAGGAUUUUCUUUUUUAAGUUAAAGAAUGAUCAAAUUUUUUUUUUUUACAGUUUUAGGGUGUUAGAAAAGAAAAUUAACAAUACAUAAUCUUUUAUAAUUAUUUUUUUCUAGGAGUUAGAAAAAUAAAAAUACUAUCAAAUAAUUAUUUCCAGCAAAUAUUAACUAUUUUAAAAAGUUGCUAUUUUCAAAAUUCGUUUUCUCAAUAUUACUAAUAUUUUUAAUUAAAUAUUUUCAGUAUCAUAUUUAUCAUUAAAUUUUAAAAGUAAAAAUUACUUUUACAAUUCUAUUUGGUCAGAAUUUAAAAGGAAACAAUCUUAUUUGGUUAAGAUUAAAGGGAAAAUUACAUGUUUACCACUUUCAUGGUACCACUUUUCAUUUUUACCACCACUAAGAAGACAUUUUCAAAAAUAUCUUCUUCAUUAAGUGGCAAAUGACUCUUAUGCCAUUGUUAUUUAUAUAUAUAUAAUAAAUCAUUAUUUAAAUAAAAAAUAAAAAAAAAAAGUAAAAAAAAAUUAUGUUUUCGAAUUAUACUUUUUCAAAUUCGAACUUUUUUAUAAAUUUUUUUUUUUGAAAUUGUUUUUUUCGAUUUUUUUUUUCAAAUUUCUUUUUGAAAAACGAAAAUAAAUUUCAAUCUUUUUAAUUCCUUAUAAAAGAGAAUUAUAACAUAUUUUUGACACAUGUCACAAUCUUAAUAAAUUAAUUGACACAUGUCGCGAUCAUGUUAAUUAGCAACUUUGAAAAAUCAAGCUUUAUAUAAUAAGAUAGAUUGUUUGAGCAAAUGAUGUCUCUUUCUUUAAUGCAUCCUCUUACACCAAUUUUAAUUUUUGAAUGAUACAUUUUUUUUGUAAACUUAAUAAUAGGUACACCCUUUCACAUGUUAUUUUUAAGUUUGAACAAAGCACCAUUUUAAUUGAUUGAUACAACUCUUUGAACAAAGGACUGGUAUUUCUCUCACACAUCUUUUUACAUGUUUUUUAGAAAGAAAAGAAUUUACUGUAUAAUCAAAAUAUAUAAUUUUACUAUUUCAGUCUCACUUUCUUGUCUCUUCUUGCUCUCUCAUUUUUAUUAUUAUCAUUUAUCAAUACCUCUUUGACGUGCAAGGAGUAGGUGAGGGUUUUGUUCUAGUUAUAGUGGAGUUGUUGUUUCUUCUUACGUGCAGCAAUUCUAAGCCAUAACAAGUUUAUUUUUUUAAUAAAGACUUUUCUAUUGAGCCAUAACAAGUUUAUUUAUAUAUAUUCAUAUUGAGCUGGGUUGUUGAUAGAGCAGAAGAAAAAGAUGUCUAAGCUUAUGCAAAAUCCAGUGUUCCACGAAUUGAAGAAGCAAGCUUCUUUCUUCAUCAAAGAGAAGAUCAAGACUGCUCGUCUCGCCGUAACUGAUGUUACUGAAGAAGAGUUGUAAGAAUUUUUAUGAUCGAUAUGUACAUAUGGCUUAUCAUCAAUCGAUUGUGAUUUAACCAUGCGCUCUGGAUUUAUUCAAUUUUGAAGAUUAACAGAAGAAGUUACGGGCAGUGCGCUCUCGUUAAUAGACGCUCGCUCCAUGGCGGUCAUAACAAAAGCUUCUUUUGAAGUUGAUCAGUUCCAAAGAAUCGUAAAGAUUCUACGUCAAAGGUUACUAUUCUUGCUUCGCUAUGACUUAUACAAAAUAAACAUUCCACCAAGUAGAACAAAUUUAUGAUGUUGGCGUUUUAAUUAUAAACUUCAUAUAUUGUUAUUUUUAAUAUGGUCGUAUUUAUAACAUAGUUUUUCUCCGAACCAACUACAUUAAGCAUAUAAAUUAUAUGAAUUUAUUUUUUUAUUCUACACAAUUUUGUUCCAUUAAUUAUACUAGUAAUGAUGACGAUUUAGAUCCAUUGUAAUUCAUCAAAAUAUAACAUGUUUUUCAAGAAAACUAUAUAUUAAUUCAUUAAAAAUAUGGUUACCAGUUAGUGAAUUGGUAUUUUUUCCAGAAUGUUAAUGUUUGAUAGAAGAGAAUGGCGUGGGAUGUACAACACUUUGACAAUGUUGAACCACUUGUUAAUCAACGGACCACUAAGUGUAUUCAAGGAGUUUCAACACGAGAAAGAAAUUAUUGAAGAUGUCAUAACGAUUGAGUGGAUCGAUGAAAAAGGGUUCGAAUGUGGUCUAAAAGUUCGAAACAUAGCCGAAGAGGUACUAAAGUUGCUUGAAGAUGAGACGUUUUGCAAGGACGAGAGAGAAAGAAAGCGUAAGCAAAGCUUUGGUCGGAUCACAGGAUUCGGAAGCUCGAGUUUCGUUAUACAUUCUGAAACUCUGUCUGAAACAAACAAAGGACGAGACAGCUCGUUCUUGAGUGACCACCAAACUUGUGAAAAUGAUUGUAACGUUGAUGAUCAUCCUUUCGUGGAGAAAGAACACAAUAAUACUGCUAAACUCUUGGUUUCUUCUUCGACCUAGCUAAGAUGUAUUGUUCUUGUUUGUAUAAUAGUAAAAUCCCUAAUAGUAAGCAUAUAAACGUUUGUUGAUAAUGAUAUGCUUAUUCAUAUAUAUAAGCAUGCAGAUACAAGUUUUCAUUGAUAUGCCUUAUGUAGUCAUAUAGAAACAAGUUUUUCAAUGAGCGUGAUUUUAUCAACUUAGUUUGGACUUUGGAUUCUGAUUACAUAGUUGUCGAUGAAAUAAUCUUCACUGCAAAUACUAAGAUCGAAAUAUUUUUAUAUUUAAUUUUGAAUGACAACCUCAUCUGUAAAAAAAAAAUUAGUUGAAAUACUAUGCUACUAUAUAAACAUGAUUUAUAAAAUAUAAACAAGUGUUUCAUUGAUAUGCCUUACGUAGUCAUAUGGAAACAAGUUUUUUCAAUGUGUGAUUUUAUCAUAGUUGGGACUUUGGAUUUUGAUUGUAUAGUUUGUUCAUGAAGUUAAAUAGUCUUCACUGCAAAGACUAAUACCAAAAUAUUUUGUUUUAUUUUAUAGUUUUGAAUGACAUCUCCUUGUUUAAUUAUUUGGAUGAAAUAACAAUGCUACCAUAUAAACAUGAUUUACACCCUCAAAUCCAAAAUGCAUAUAAUUGAAUUAAUAGUGGUUUUUUUCUUCUUAUAUCAAAAAUUCACUAGGAGUUCUCCUGCUCCAUGCGCAGAUAUAAAAUAUUUAAAAAUAUUAUAUAUAAAUUAGGGCUGGGCAAAUAAACCGAAUACGAAAACCCGAACCGAACCCGAUCCGAUAAAAAUGAAUCCGAACCGAUCCGAACCCAGCAUAAAUACCGAAUGGAUCUUGUUUUACGGUAUUUCGGGUUAUGAGUAUUAUCCGAACCGAACCCGAACUUAAAUGGAUACCCGAUAGAACCCCGAAACAUUCAAAAUUUCCAAAAAUCACUUGUACCAAACAUGAUCUCAUUUCCUAAUAUAUAUUCAAAAUAUAUUGAACAUCUAAAAUAAUUAUCUAUUAUAUGAAAAUUGGUGGUUGAAGGUGGCGGUUGAAGUUUUUAUAUUUUGGUUUUGUUUUCAUUGAAUAAUGUUUCUUUCCAUGAGAACUUGGUUUUCGUUUUAUGUUUUUAUUUAUUUGGUUUUCUUUCGAUCAAUAACUAUGUUUACCUUUCACUUGAUUUUGAAUGAUCACAUUUGAUGUUGCUUUGUUUUUUUUGAACCGGUUUUAUUUAUGUUUUGGUUACAAAAUAGGUACAAAUCAAGUAUUUUAAAACCGAAGAACCGAUUUUACUUACUUUUUGGUUACAAAAUAGAUAUAAAUCAGGUACAUUUAAACCGAAGAAUCGAUUGGGACCCGAACCCGAAAGUACAUCGGGUUAUACCGGUUCUUUGAAGAUUUACUAACCCCGGCCCGAACCCGAUAGAACCCGAACCGGUCCCGAACCGAAUUUUCAUAUAACCCGAAUGGAACUGAUUUUGAUGAACCCGAAAAAUCGAAACCCGAUUGGACUAAACCGAAACCCGAUUGGGAUCCCAAAUGCCCAUGCCUAACUACACUUAUUUAAUAAUAAAAAUAUUAUUCAUAUAUUGAUGUAAAAUUUUAAUAUUCGUAAUUAUUAUUUAUAUAUAUAAAUAUAUAUUUUUAAUAGAAAUAGAAAAGUUUUAAUAGAUAUAGAAAAAUUAUUAGGUAUCAUAAAAUCUUACCAAAAUGAAUAUUUACUGAAAAAAAAUAUUUUGGAUAUAAAAUUUAUUAGUUAUUACUAUAUUAUGAAACUUUUCCAAAAAUAUAAAUCCGUAUAUAGAAAAUCAUCAUCAUUAUAUUUAAGAAAUAUUACCAAAAACAUAAAUCUAAAUAUAAUAAAUUUUACAUGUCACAAUUAGAUUUAUGUCAUGUCAUAUUUCUUUUAUGCCAUGUCAUCAUUUGUUUGUGAAAGUUAAUGUAGUGAUGACACAUAUACAAAUCACUUUUCAAAAAUAUAGUCAUGGAGAUUUUUAUAUGAUUAAAUAAGACACUCAGAUUAAUUUAAUUGAACCGACUCCGGUUAUUCUAUGAUCGAUCAUACGAGGAGCUCACGUGAUCUCACGAGACGCUCACGUGAUAUAUUGUUUGGCGCGACGCUGGCUUUUUAGUCCUCCUCAGAUCAGAUCUCGCGACGGCGUCGUAUCAAGCGCGUUGAUGGUAGAAAGAGAAUGAGAUCUCAUCAUCACCAAGGCGGCCGCAGUAAGCUAACGAUUCUCCAACUUCUAUGCGCCGUCGCAGUUUUCUCCGUUCUCCUCUUCACCAUCCAAUCUUCCUUCUUCUCAGGUCAUCCAUCUUAAUAAUAGCAUUACACUUGUUCAUCUCCUAACUAUUACUGAUUCUCUUCAUCUCGCAGAUAAUGCUAAUCGCAAAGUAAACAUUCUCCGCCCGGAAGAUAUUCAGAUCUUAUCGGAGUUUCAGUCCAGCGUUCAACAGUGCGUGGUUUGUCUCCUCUCUCUCUCUACCUCUUUGAUUGCUAAGGUUAUAGAUUCGUAAUUUGGAUUUAGAUCGAUCCCAUUGCGUAAGAGACGGCGUUUGCUAUAACGAAGUUUGAUUUUGAUGUAUUGGUAAUGUAUGAGUAGCAGCACAAUGAGCAUUUUGAAAUCUGGUGAAGCGAGAAAGGUUGUGGAAGCUAACAAACAACUAUACUGAUCUGCUUUCUCUUGAAUUAAAGCUAAUUUAUGAUAGAAUCAUGUUUUGUAAGUGAAGAUUAAUGCUAAAUCUAAUGAGCAUUUCAAGUCUGGAGAAGUGAAGCAUUGUGGAAGCUAACUUCUAUUUGCUUUCUCUUGAUGUCAAAUAAAGCUAAUGUGAUAAGAAUCAUGUUUUUUGAAGUCAAUAAGGAAUGUUAUUUUACGAGCUAUGACAGACUAAUUUUGUUACCAUUCUUACUCUUUCCAGCUUUGAUUUGUGUUGGAGGAACCUAGUUUAUGGGAUUCUGGUGAAAUAGUUUAGUUUGGAAGCUCGCAUGUGUUGGGAGUUGGAAUAAUUGUUAAGAGUGUUUAUGCAGGGGGACAGAGGGCUUGGACUCUCUGCUCAUAUUAUUGAUCACUGCAAUUUGAUCCUCAAGUUCCCUCAAGGCACUAACAGCACUUGGGUAAUGUUUACACUUGUCUCUGGUUUCUUUUUGAGAUUUCCAUUGAUGCAAGUUUCUCACUCAUAUUCUUAUCUGUCAAUGACAGUACAAUGCACAGUUUAAAAUUUUUGAACCGUUGGAGUUCAAGUAUAAUGUUUGCGAGGCAGUUCUCCUAUGGGAGCAGGUUCGUGCUUCUUUCUUUCUCUGAUUAGCUUUUCUUGUUUGGGGACUUCUCAGGAUUCUAAUGUGUCUGAGUAAUGCAGUACCGCAAUAUGACCACAGUGUUGACAAGAGAAUACCUUGAUGUACGCCCUAAUGGAUGGUUGGACUAUGCAGCUAUGAGAAUUGCACAGCUGUAUGACCUCCCGAACGCCCUGUCUGAUUGUUUGCUUGCGUCAUUUGUUCUUUCUUGUUGAGUUUUUUGAUAUUCCGGGUUUCAGGGGAGCUGAUAAGUGUUAUAAUCGUACAUUGUGUGAGGAGCAUCUUAAUGUGAUCCUUCCAGCAAAGCCUCCUUUCCACCCAAGACAGUUCCAUAAGUGCGCUGUUGUUGGAAAUUCCGGAGAUUUGUUGAAAACAGAUUUCGGAGAAGAGAUUGACAGCCAUGAUGCUGUAUUCCGAGAUAAUGAAGCUCCUGUCAAUGAGGUGAUAUGUCUAACAUUUCGCUGAGUUUACCGGUUGACGUUACUACGUGGUCUUCAAUUGGUGAUAUUUGGUUGCUAGCAUUGCUUAUGUUGAAGUUAUUUUAUUGCAGAAGUAUGCCAAGUAUGUAGGAGUGAAAAGGGAUUUCCGGCUAGUUGUUCGUGGUGCGGCUCGUAACAUGGUUAAGAUUCUCAAUGGGUCUGGUCAGUACUCAUAUUCUAUACUGAUAUAAUCUGCAUCUUGUGAUUCAUUUUUCUUCAAGCACUCAUUGCAGCUCUGCCCUUGUGAUGUAAUGUAACCUUCUGUAACCGUCAUUGACUGCAGACAGUGAGGUGCUUAUAAUCAAAAGUGUGACCCACCGAGACUUCAACGAAAUGAUAAAGGUAUGGUCACUGUUUUCUCUCUUCUUUUUCUUCCAACAGUUUCCACUUUCUUAUGCUGUUUUGUAUUUAUCUUGUAACAGACUAUACCAAACCCUGUUUAUCUGUUCCAAGGAAUUGUCCUACGAAGAGGUGCCAAAGGAACAGGAAUGAAGUCCAUUGAACUUGCACUGUCCAUGUGCGAUAUCGUCGACAUAUAUGGUUUCACCGUCGAUCCUGGAUACACAGAGUGGUAAGUAUUCUAAACCUCUCUUUUAUGAGAAUAAAUUCCCACGGUUUCUCACUUUUGCAUCUUUGAUAUAAAUGUAGGACGCGUUACUUCUCCACGCCAAGGAAAGGGCAUAACCCACUUCAAGGAAGAGCAUACUACCAACUUCUAGAAUGUCUUGGUGUACAUAUAACUUGCCAAAACCUUUAUCUCUAUUAUUCUCUCUAAACGUUAAGCCUUUUGUGGUCUUUCUGAAGAAAUCAUUACUUGGCAGGUUAUCCGGAUCCAUUCCCCCAUGAGGUCCGAGAGAAAGGAAGACUGGUCGAGCGUGCCAAGUCGUGAAAUGAUAACCCGAGCUCACGCCUCCGCCUUACGCCUACAAAGAAGCCAACAGGCAACUAGUUUGAAGAAGGAUGGGUUAGGACAGUUCGGUAACUGCAAGGUGUGGGGCGACGCAGACCCGAGAAAAGGACCCGUGUCGGGAUCUCCAGACAUGAGUGAGGUUAGGAAGAAGUCUGAUUACAAGAAAUGGGAAGUGAUGCCGUUUAAGAGCUUGAGAAAAGAAGCAAGGGAUCACUAUGUACAAAUGCAAGGCGUGUCACAGUACAAGAUGGAUGGGAAUAAACUUGACGAUCUUGUUUGCGUGAGGCAUCGUCCGCUAGAAUCAGAGACGUAAAAAUGUUGUUUUUUUCAAUACCAUCGUUGGCUGAUAAAGGUAGAAUGUAAUGUUUUUUUGUUGAAGCAAAGUUCUGCACGUAACAUAUCAUUACUAGUCUUGUUUUUGUUGAAGCAAGGAGUAUUGUUUCUAAAUUAAAUAGUUUCAUUAGAUAAGCAAUAACCCAUUGGUUAAUAGAUCGCUCAAGUGAAUGCUAUCGCCGAUAUUCUCCGAAGUGGAUAUAUGGUCACUGACACUGAGCCUCUCUCGUUCUUCCGCACUCCUAGGGAAUCUUUUUUUCUUCUAGUGAAAACUUUAUCAUAGGGGUAUUUUGAACUUCAAUGUUGUGUCUACCUUUUGCUUAUUACUGUUGAAUCCUAAAACAGGUAAUCUAGUUUAAGAACGUAACCAAACAAUGAAUGAGAGUUUAGAGGUCAAAUUUUUUGUUUAUUGAAGUGUUUUGAGGGUUUGCCGAAAAGGAGAUACAAAAGACUAAGAACUCGUCGUCAAUAAAUAUUUCUCUUUCGUUCCACCUUCCUCCAUCAUUACGUUUCUGCAUCAGCACAGUGAUUGGCGGGGUUGUUGGCAGUUACGUUCGGCGCCGUAAUAGGGUUUGGUGUUCUGCUUCGCCUGACUCUCAGGUCGUUCUGACGAGCAGGUGAGAUGAUGGUCUUUUUUUUUUUCAGCUGGCCUUUUCUGGGCCGUUCUUUCUUUUCAUGUCUUCGUCCGUUGUUGGAUCGAGUCGACUUUUGAGCCUGGACGGGAAUCUGGACCCAUAUCCAACAAUUACUCUUAGAGUAUUAACAAUAAUCAUGAUUCUAAUAAUAAUAUUUUUUCAAUAUACGUGAAAACAUUAAAAACUAUAUUCGUAGAAAUUUUUGUUUGAUACAUUAAAUUUCUUCAUCUUACGUAGCCAAUUAUAAUUUUGUAAUUUCUAAAAUUAGUAUAAUAUAUAUAAAAAAAUGGCUGAUUGCGUUAAUUUCGUUAAUUUAGUUGACCUCGCUCUAUUUGUCUAUUUCUCAUAAGUUUAAUAAAACAAACUAUUUUUACCUUAUCUGUUGUGUAUAUAUACUAUGAGCGUUAGAAAUACUUUUUUAACAAGAAGACAAAUCAUUGUUUAUGCUAUCUUUUAUCAGAUUUGAGCCAUGAAGUCUCAUAUUUUAUUCAUUUUUUCUUGUGUUAUUUUGUUGCUCGUUUUGAGCUAUCCAAAAGGUAUAUAUCAAUAUUUGUUUUAUGACUAACAAUUUGUGGAAUAUAUAAAUAUCAACCUCUAAUAUUCAAUUUGCUGCAUUAUCAAAAGAAAAACUAAACUUCAUUAUUUAUUAUAUAAAAAAAAAUUUCUUUGCUGAUAUAAACUGUAGAAGCAAAAGCUAACAGAUGUCACCGUACGGCCUAUUUUCCUGGAAGAUGCGAAGAUGUUGGAAGAACAAGUUGCCUCAUGGAUUUCAAGACACUGGACCCGCGUUUUGAUCAAUGUAGUAGAUGUGAGAACCAUAAGAUCAAUGGUAAACAAGAACGUCGAUGCCAUUGCAGUUUCGCUGCCAAAUCCUGCUUUUAAUUUCAUGCAGAUGUUAGCUAUGGCAUCCGGUUUAAAAGGGCAUAUUUUAAUUUUAUUUUCUUAUUGAUAUUUACAGAAAUAAAAUUUAUGAUGUUUUUUGUUAAAAAAAUUUAUUUGUGGAAAUUUUUAGUUAUGACACUUUGAAAACAUUUAUGUCUGAAUCUGACAACGUUUUGUAAAAUAAUAUGCAUUCAAACAUGAAUAUUGAUGCUUUGCUUAUGGAAUUAAACAUUUUACGAGAAUCAGUACCAGGGGAAGUUUUUCUAAAAAAAAGAGAAAAAAUAAUGCUUGGAAAAGAACUGAUUUGAUAAAUAAAUAGGAAGAUGAAAAACUGAGACAGAAGAAUUAGAAACGUAUAGAACCAUAUAUGAAAUGGAAAAGCUUGCGAAAUAGUUAAGAGCCUAAAGAUAAAACGAGGGAGAAUAUUUAAAACAUCAUUGAGAAAUUUAAAAGUUUCUGCGUAAAUAAGAGAUGAACUUGCACAUUUUAAAUGGUUGAUUUUUCAUGUUGAUGUGGACAUUCUCAAAACUUUAGCCCAUUCUCUUUUAUAUAUCGGGAUUAGAAAGCUAUUCCCACUCUUGACAAUGUUACCUCAUGCAACAUAUAAACAUUACAACCACCAAAUGUAUCCAAUUUUCAUACAAACAUAAUUUUAAUAAAAAUAUCAUUUUUUAUGUAAGAAACAUAUAUAAUGUAAAGUAUCCACUUUUAUCUAAAACACUGAUUAAUAAGCAAAUAUGUUAAAUUAGGAUUUAUCAUAGGCUUUUAACUUAAAACCAACUAGAUUUUGACCCGCACGCCCGUGCGGGUGUAUUUUUUAAAACAAUAUGAUGCUAUUUACUUUUUAUGUCACUGUUUAGGGUUAGGCAAAAAACUCAAACUCGAAUAAUCGAACCGAUCCCAAUCCGAAUAAGUAGUACUAAUUCCGAACCGGAAUUGAUUAAAUAUCUGAAUUAUUCAAAAUUUUGGUAUUUGAAGAAUUGAAACCUAAUCUGAUCCGAACCGAAGUAUUUUGGGUAUCCAAAAUAGAUUUAUAUACUUAUAUAUAUUAAUUAUUUUUAGAUUUAAUAUAUAUAAAGACAUCCAGAAUAUAUAUGAUAUUUUUAAGUUCGCAUAAAUGCUUGAAAAUAUAUACAAAUAAUCAAACGUAGAUAUCUUAAAUAGUAAAAAAAUACUCAAAACUCCAAAAAUACGUAAAUAAUUAUUAAUUCUCUAUCCAAAUAUUUAAACCAAACCUAUUUAAAUUGGUUAUCCAAUUCCGAACCAAAUCUUCAAAGAUCUGAACUGGACACGAAAUCCCAAAAAGACCUAAAAACGAACUCGAACGCCCACCCCUAAUCACUAUUAUAUAUAUAUCCUACAUGUGUCAUCAUAGGUUACAAAAUAUGUGUUAUCAUAUAAUUAAUCGUAUUUUAUACGUACCAUCAAAUAAGUUUUCUUAUAAUUAAUAAUAUUUUAUACGUACAAUCAUAUAAAUAAUCACAUAUAUUAUAUUUUAAAAUUUAAUGUGAAAUAUAAAAACCAUAAUUUAAGUUGGUGUUUGAAAUUGGGCUUUGUAUUAUAUCUUUAUUAUAUAUAUUGAAAAUAAUUUUAUAAUAGUUAUUGGAAAAUAUGUUAGUAAAAAUUAAAUUUUGAAUAUAUGUAUAUUUUUGAAUGAAUUUUUGAUAUAAAUCAAUUUUAAAUUAUUAUUUUGAUUUGAAUAUAUAUAUAUCAAGUAACAUAGACCCAUUACUUUUUAAUAUAAUGUAAUGGACUUUCAAAUUUUUAAUAGCAUAAGCCCAUUAUUUUUUUCCUAACUUAUUUCUAUCCAUGUUUCCAAACAAUACUAUUUUUUUAACUACUAUCCAUAUUACCAAACAAUCUCAAUGUGUACUUCAACUUUAAUAAUAUAGAUUGAUGAUAAGUGGACUAAUUUUAACCAUUUAUAUAUUAUUCAUGUCCCACUUAAACUUCCAAUAUGUGAGUUUAUAUUUUCACACGCCUCUUCAAGAUAGUGAUUCUUAUAACCAUUAACCUCGACAAUAUCUCAAUUUAGGAUUUGGUUCGGUCAGUUCGCCAGACCAUUCAGGCCAUGAGGUUUAGGAUCAAUUGAACCUCUUUCGAUGAGCCUAAUCAAUUUCGGUUCGGUUGGGCAGCUAGCAUGUGUUCGGACUAUAAUAUCAUGUUAAGUUUGGAUUUAUCAUGAGUUUUCAAAUUAAAAUAAAUUGGUAAUAUGUGGAUUGAUCCAAAUCUUUUAUAUAUUAUUCAUGUAUCAAUUGAAUUUUCGAUCUCGAUGUGAAACUUAUAUUUUCACAUCAAAACGUUAAUUUUUUAAAAAUAGGAAUGCAAGUCAAAGUAUAUUUGGAUAUGUCUGAAGUGUGAUUCAGUCAGUAUCGACUGUCCAUAACUCCGUGUUAUGUUUUUAGCUUCUAAACAUUAUAAUUUACUAAGUUACAAAAAAAACACUAUAAUUUACUAUCUAAUUUUUUUUUCACAAUUCUUUCAGUGUCGAGUGUCCAUAUCACUCGGACAGUACCAAGUAUCAACCUAGAUCAAACACAAACGGUUCAGAAUUUAAAAUGAAUAUGAAAAGACUUACUAUUAUAUAAAAACGAUAGCUUGUUGUCGAAAAAGUUAUUGUUUUGAAAGAUGUGUUGUACACUUAUACGAGGUCUGAUUGGUUCGACUAGAAAGAAAGUGUCAGGCGGCUAAAAUAAAUUCGAUCGUCAUCUAAGUUCAGUUUCCCAUUCAGUUUUUUUCUUUCUUAAGCACUGUAGGGGCCACUACAAAAUCAAUUGUAUAUAGGGCUUGUGUAUAUUAUGUAUGCUUUCAAAACUAUUGUAAAUCAACGACCAUUGAAAAAGGAAAGAAAGAAAGAAACGUGGUGAAUGAAUCCCACAGAAAUGAAAUAAAAACAUAUAGCAAAAUCUCAUAGUUUGGUGUCACGCGAAUAACGAUUAUAAAAAAUUAGUUUGUUUUACAUAGAAAAAAUAAGAAUUAGUUUACAAAAAAAAAAAAAAAAAAGAAUGAAAAACGAAUCAAAGCUGGAAUAACCGAUAGAGACGGAGACGCCAUGAUUUAUAAGUAGAAAUGACACGUUGGAGCUGACUCAAUCAAUCUCUCACAAGUCACAUCUCUAUCAAUAGAGAAACACGCCAUGAUUUAUAAGUAAAAACGUAUGUUCUUUUUUCUUUUCUUUUUGUUCUCUCCCGUUUUUUUUUUAAAUCUUUUUCAUCCUUUUCAAAAAUUAACGGUACCAAGAUUUGUAGUAGACCGUGUACCUUACCUGGUGAUUGCUUCAGUAAUAAUUGUCUGUGUGUGUAUUUGAUAUUUAUUUUCUGAAAAGGCCAUAAUCAAUUUAAACAUACAUGCUAUGAUGUGCAUUGUCAUCACAAAUUCAUGUUUUGUCUUUUACAUGCAAACAUAUGUGUAUGAUGAAAAUAAUCUAUCCACUAUUUGACAUUUUGGAAUUGGCGAUCCGAAAAAAAAAAGAAUAUAUAAGCUUAAACAUAAAUCAUUACAACAUUAUAGCCAUAGUUAGAUUCAACAAUAUAUAAAAGAGACGGCCUUAGAUAAACUGAAAAUGAGAGAAUACUAUAACUUUGGUUCAUCGAUACAUCCGAGGGUAGUAGUAAUACGACAACUAUCUCGUGAAUCAGUUUUGCAUUGGACACGUAUGUACGCAUGCUUCCAAUAUAGAACACAACUUCAUCCUUUUCUCGUGAACGUUAACUUUCUCUAAUGUUUUUUUUUUGUUUGCAUUUUCUUAGUAAAAACCAAACAAAGGAUUCGUCGUCUGGUAUAUAUUUAAAUUUGUUUCUUCAUUUUUGUCGUUGUCUUUCUUUCUAAAGUUUCGGUGCCAAUGGUGCUUGUAACUUGGCCUACUUUUAGUUGUCAGGUAGGUAUCAUAUCAACGUCAAUUAUCCACGCGGCACUCUUAUAACCUAGUUUAUUUACCACACUGACCAGCUUCAUGCAUCUCUCUCUUUCUUCACAUCAAACCUACUCGAACUACCUCUUCCUUCCGAUCUAUCAUUAUUAUGAGUUUGUAUCCUUGUCUCUUCUUUCUCUACCAUUACAAAGAGAACAUACAAAUCUGAAAGUUACCUUAGAUUCACGAUGUUUUGUUACGUUAAUUAAUGCUUUAAUUAUUGUGUUAAUUUGAUGUUAGGUGACAACAAGGUUAUUUAAAUAAUUUCAAGUUGGAAUCAGAAACAAGUGCAUCUUUCUUCGUUUACACAGGUACUCCUCUCUGGUUUUGUUUAAAUCUGUUCAUGUUUUCCGUCUUUCUUUAACAAUUUUGCCCUUAGUUAUCCAUCCUAGGUAGCCAAAACCUUUUGUUUGUAUUGGCUAUUUUAAAAUUUAAUAUCAUUUCAUUUCAUCAAAACCUCUGUUUUUAAUUACUAACUGAAUCAUACAUAUGCCUAUAUUAUCUGGAUGUAUGAUCAUCAUUCUCGCAUCCUCAUGGUUGUGAUUGAACCUUAUUAGUAGUCUUAGUGAGUCUUUUUACCUUUUUUGUGGCUUGCUAUGGCUCCAUUGCUCUGUCUUAUUGACUUAGCGACUUAGAUUCAAUAGGAUUAGAUUAGUCGAAGUCCAUUGUAUCUCUUUGCCUCAUUAUUAAGUUAAUGAAAUUCACAUACUUAACAAAAAAAUAUAUCUUAACACAAUGAUUAUUCUCACUUCUAAUUUUCUUUCAUUUCUUACAUUCCUUAUGGAUAUUAUACACACGUUGAGGAGACUAAUCUGAAGAUAAGCUUUCUUUUAAUGAUGUUAAGGAUGAAGGAGACAUCUAUUAUUCUUAGCAUCCUAAUUUAUAUAAUACUUAAUUUUGUGAGAUUCGUACGUACGGACGAACAUUUGCAAUUUAAUAGGAGAGUCAUUGUGCUGUCCCCAAAGACCAGUUCAAAAUGUUUCAAUUACUGGUAGUACAAAUGUGAAGGUUCUUCCUUCGGACCUGACGUCAAAGUGUUGAAACACAUUCUUAAAAUUAGUUAUAAACGAUUAGAAGUGUUUGAUGCAUAGCCAUCCUUACCUUAUCCAACACGUUAGGGCUUUUAAUUUAUUUAUUUAUUUAUAAUAAUUCUUUCGUUUAUAUCACUUUGUUUUGCCUCAUUACUCGUUAGAGUUGGUGUUUCUUAGUGUUUAGUAAGAAACAAUGUGGUAUAGGUAGAUUGAGAUAAAGAUGGUGAUGCGAACUGUGGAUCUACGGUCAGACACCGUGACUAGACCUACCGAUGCGAUGCGUGAAGCAAUGGGAAGCGCAGAAGUAGACGAUGACGUCCUCGGCUACGACCCAACGGCUCGACGUCUUGAAGAGGAGAUAGCCAAGAUGAUGGGGAAAGAAGCAGCUCUCUUCGUGCCAUCCGGUACAAUGGGGAAUCUCAUAUGCGUUAUGGUUCACUGCGACGUGAGAGGCAGCGAGGUGAUUCUUGGAGACAACUGUCACAUCCAUGUCUACGAGAACGGAGGGAUAUCAACAAUAGGAGGCGUGCAUCCCAAGACAAUCAAGAAUGAAGAAGACGGGACGAUGGACUUGGGGGCUAUAGAAGCAGCUAUUAGAGACCCUAAAGGAAGCACGUUUUAUCCAUCAACAAGGUUGAUUUGCUUGGAGAACACACACGCCAAGUAAGUUUUGCUCAUGUUAUUUAUACUUGAUAAAGCUUAGCUUGUCUCUUAUGAGGGUUUGAUGCAGCUCUGGUGGGAGAUGUUUGAGCGUGGAAUAUACAGAUAGAGUUGGAGAGAUUGCGAAGAGACAUGGUUUAAAGCUUCAUAUCGAUGGAGCUCGCCUUUUUAAUGCUUCCAUUGUAAUGCACUCAUCUCAUUUAUCUCAUCCUUUUUGUUACAUACAUGGUCGGUCUUGAGAUUCUGGAAGUUAAUAGACAGUUUAGUAACAUUUUAAUAAGAAAAUGGCUUUUUAAAAUAAAUUUGGGAAUCUAUAUUUAUGUAAGUUGUUUUAAAAUUUUUGGAGAGCGUAGAUCAAUGUUUCAAUUGUUUAUGCCGAGAACCGGCCAUGUUAACAAAUAUACACUAUAAUAAGUUUGAACUAGAAUUGUGACAUAUAACACCAUUAAUACGUACAAACCACUAGACUAAAAUGUUACGGAAUCUUUUUUUUGUAGGCACUUGGAGUUCCAGUCCAUAGGCUUGUACAGGCUGCUGACUCUGUUUCGGUACCAUUUUCUCUCUUUAACCUCUGAAAUGUUUAGCUAAAAAGAUAACUGAGACUCAUUUACACAUGUACACUCUUGCUUCAGGUGUGUCUCUCUAAAGGUCUUGGAGCUCCAAUAGGAUCUGUAGUCGUUGGUUCACAGAGUUUCAUAGAAAAGGCGAAAACGUUAAGAAAAACAUUAGGUGGAGGAAUGAGACAAAUAGGCGUCCUGUGCGCAGCCGCUUUGGUUGCACUUCAAGAGAACCUCCCAAAGUUACAAUUUGACCACAAGAAGACAAAAUUGUUAGCUGGUACGUACUCCUAAUCACUCUACUAGUAAUUAACCGCCAAAAAAUAGAAAAAUCAGUUACUUAAGUUUUUGCAGAAGGGUUGAAUCAAAUGAAAGGGAUUAGAGUGAACGUUGCAGCCGUGGAGACCAACAUGGUGCGUAUUGUCACAACUCUUGUACUUGUUUAUCAAGACUGCUAUGUUGUUUAAUUAGUAAUGUCUGAAAUUCAGAUUUUCAUGGAUAUGGAGGAUGGAUCAAAACUUACCGCUGAGAAACUGCGCAAGAGUUUAGCUGAGCAUGGCAUUCUUGUCAUCCCGGAAAACUCGUCUAGGUAUGUCUCACAUGAACAUAGCUUGAUUGUUGCGUUUACAUGUAGAGAAAAGUGUUAUUGAAAAUUUAUAAUAGUUUAGAAAUAUAAUACGUUUACAUGGAAUGUGGUUUGUAGGAUCAGAAUGGUUAUACACCACCAGAUAACAACAAGUGAUGUGCACUACACAUUGUCUUGCUUUAAAGUAAGAAUAUUAUCAUAUUUCUCUGAACUGAACACUUUCCAACAGUAAAACUGGUUUUUAUGAGAAUUUUUUUUUUUUUGGCAGCAAGCAGUGCAAAUGAUUCAGGAACCAAGCCGGAACUGAUCUGUCCAAACCGAAAAUGUUUUUUUUUUUUGAUAAAUGUUGUUUGUCCAAGUUCCUUUUUACUUAAAACUUCAAGGAUUGAUUGAUAUCUCAAUGAAAUUUGAAUUGAAUUUGUCACUCAUUUCUUCCAUUUUGAUUAGUAACCAAAAAAGGAAAAAUAGUGGGGAAUUAAAUGAAAUUAUAGAGAGUUAGAGGGUGUAUUCUGUAAAUAAAGGAUAAAUAGUAGUGAAUGUUGAAUGUUUCAUAAAUAAUGGGAAUAAAACAAAAAUUGUAAAGAGAUAGAGGGUGUACUCUUUAAAUUAAGGAUAAACCCUACUUAUCAUAUCAAACCCCCGGCAGAAGAAAAACACGCACAGCCUUUGUUCCCAAAUCGAAGAAGAAGAAGACCAAACUGUGAGUGACUUUCUUAAACUCUUCUCUCUCUUCAUUUCUCCAGAUUCGUUAUGUAAGAACAACUUCCUCUGAUGCUCUACCUGCUCAAACCUAUCUCUAGUUCUGUCUUCUUCUCAUGUUUUAUACCAAUUUUUUUAUGUUUCAUUUUUUUUUUAAAUUCCACAGGUUGGUUAGGAGAUAAAGCAUUGAACAUUCUAACAGAAAGUUCUCUCCCUUUGUCAAAAAAAAACAGGUUGAUGACGUCAUCAAAUUUGCUACUUGAAGCUCACUUCUUACACAUUCCAAAGCAGGCGAGUCUCAGCAAUGGAUUCCGUUUGGUUAAUUGGAAGAAAGAAACUGUUUCAAGAUGUGGUAGUAGUCUUUGCGUUGACCAUGUAGCUGAUCUUUCCGAGAGAACCUCAUCACUCCACAAUAACAACAAAGCGAAACCACCGAGGAUGGUUGUUUUCUCAUCAGAUGGACCAAUCACAGAGAACAAGCAAGACGCAAACAACAACAUCCUCCACAGCCUCUGCAGCCACGGGAAGCUAACAGACGCCUGCAAACUCGUCGAAGUCAUGGCUCGUCACAACCAACUCCCUCACUUCCCUUCUUGCACCAACCUAGUCCGCGGCUUAGCAAGAAUCGACCAAACGGACAAAGCCAUGUGCAUACUUAAAAUCAUGGUGAUGUCCGGUGGAGUUCCGGACACCAUCACCUACAACAUGGUCAUUGGUAACCUCUGCAAGAAAGGUGAUCUGAGAUCCGCUUUGUCCCUCUUAGAAGACAUGAGCCUGAGCGGGACAUCUCCCGACGUGAUCACUUACAAUACACUGAUUCGGUUCAUGUGUGAUAACGGGAACGCAGAGGACGCGGUUGAGUUUUGGAAAAAUCAGUUACGAAGCGGUUGUCCUCCUUACAUGAUCACCUUCACGGUGCUGGUGGAGCUCGUGUGUAGGUACUGCGGGAGCGGUAGAGCUAUAAAGGUGGUGGAGGACAUGGCGGUCGAAGGUUGUUAUCCUGAUAUUGUAACGUAUAACUCUCUUGUGAACUUUAACUGUAGGAGAGGGACGUUGGAGGAUGUUGCGUUGGUGAUUAAACAUAUUUUGUCUCACGGAGUUGAGCUCAACACCGUGACUUACAACACGCUUCUGCAUUCGCUGUGUUCGCACGGGUACUGGGACGAAGUUGAUGAGAUCUUGAGUAUAAUGUACGAGACUUCGUACUCUCCUACGGUUAUCACUUACAACAUUUUGAUAAACGGUUUGUGCAAGGCGGGGAUGUUGAGCCGCGCGAUUGAUUUCUUCUACCAGAUGCUGGAGCAGGGGUGUUCGCCUGACAUCGUCACUUACAACACGGUUCUUGGAGCAAUGUCUAAAGAAGGGAUGGUCAACGAGGCGAUGGUGCUGCUUGCUUUGCUGAGGAAGACUAGGUGUUGUUCUCCGGGGCUGAUCACUUACAACUCUGUGAUCGAUGGGUUGGCUAGGAAGGGUAUGAUGGAGAAAGCGUUGGCGCUGUACAAUCAGAUGGUGGAGGAUGGAGUGUGUCCUGAUGAUAUUACGCGCCGGUCUUUGAUUUAUGGUUUCUGCAGGGCGAAUUUGGUUGAGGAAGCGAGUCAGGUUUUGAAGGAGACGAGUAAUAGAGGGAAUGGGAUUAGAGGGAGUACUUAUAGGUUGGUGGUUCAGGGGCUGUGUAAGAAGGGAGAGAUGGAGAUGGCGGUGCAGGUUGUUGAGAUAAUGCUGACGAGUGGGUGUAAGCCGGAUGAGAGGAUAUAUACAGCGAUUGUUAAAGGUGUGGAGGAGAUGGGAAUGGGAAGUGAGGCUGGUGAGUUGCGGAAGAAGCUUAGGCAGUGGAAACUCUUGAGGGAAGUGUAGAGAAAAUGUGUUCAAGGUCUUUCUUUUGUUGGUUGUUUUUUUUUUGUACAGGAAACAAGUUUUGUUAAGUCUGAAAUGGUUUGAAUUAGAGAUUAGCUUAUGUCUUCUCUCCAAUAGUUUAGUAUGUUCCAGUGUCUUGUUAUGUUUCUGGUCACUCUUUUCCGUUUAUUUCUCUUAACUGUAUUAUCUUCAGCCUCAGAUUUCAAGUUUUAUGUCAGUUAUAUGGUUAUGUAAGUUGUAUAUUCGAAAUCUCGAACAGUGAUUUGCAAACUCAAAAUGGGAUAAGCACAACCUUGCAAUGUUAGUUACUCUUAGGCUUGUGCGCAUUUAUCCAGAAUGGAAUCCAAAAAUGGGAUUUGGUUUGGAUUUGGAUCCUACCGAUUAUCCAAACCGAUAUCGAAUGAGUAUUAACUAUAAUAUAGUUUGUAAGCUUAUAAAUAUUAACUAUAUUUAAUUUUAAAAAAUCAAAUAAUUUUAAAAUAUUAUUUAUAAAUUGAAAUACCAAAAAUGAAUAAAAAAUUUUAUCGAAAUAUUAACAAUUAUCCGACCUAUUCAAAAAAACAAAAGAUCCAAAACUCGAAAAAUCUGAUAUUUAAUCCAAAAAUCCCAAAUAUUCUAAAUCUUUAACCCAAAUAAACCAAAAAAUCAGAAUCUAACCGGACCGAUUGGGAUCCAAAAUUACCUCAGAUAUUAGUCGGAUUCCAAUUUCUUACCCAAACCUAAUCGAAAACCGAAAUAAUCAAACCAAAAUCGAACCAAAAACCGAAUGCCCGAGGCUAGUUACUCUUAAAACUUCUCAAAUCACUUUAGGUUUAUAAGACACAAGUUUCAGCAUGAGUUCAAGUAAACUCUAUCUUGGUUUCAGUUCCAACUUAAAAUAAGCAAAAAGCAAACUCAAACUCUUUUGCAAUGUUUCAAAAGUAAUCUAUUUUGGGCGCAGGUGUAGUAACAUCUUCCCACGUUAAUACGAGCCCACACUCCCCACAAACCGUGCUGCUACCGACUUUACUUCCUUGGCUUAUGAGUGUGCGCUGAUGCGCCGUUCUAGUGCAGUUGCGGAUCACAAAACGACUUCUGUUGAACCUCUUUGGGAGCCGUGGGGUCACUGUUUGUGGUGAAGGUAAAGGUUUUUGGAGCUCUGGAGCUACACGCUGAACUCCUUUCCACUCUAACGCUCUCCUGUAAACUUCCCAGGCCAUGUCUUUUUCUUCCAUUGUCGGGUUCUCUUCUUCAUUUUCUUUUAGAAAUGUCUCAUGCUCAUGCAAACUAGAGAUCCAGCUAAUAGUAAAAGAAAGAACAGACAGUGAGAGAGUCAUAAACCAAAGAAAAUAAGUACUCUUGCAAACUUACUUGGGGUUGUGUAACUGUAGUAAGUUCUCCAUCAACUUGUCUGAGCAGCAACCAACCUUCUGUUUCGUUGAAGUGUUUUGACUAUCUUCAGCAUAAGAUUCUGUGACAGGAACCAUCUCAUCUACAUCUGAAUUAGACAAGUUCAUGCUCUCCUCUUUGUCGUCUUCAUUGUUUUGAAACUGAGUGCUAGUCUCCAGACAUUUUACUUGAUCUUCAGCCGGGUUUGGGACAGUAUUAUUCUCAUACAAACACGCAGACUCAUCAUCACUAUUCUCUGCCGUGUGCCUGAUAACCUGAAAUAAAACCAAAUGAACACUAAGACGUGAGCCUAAAAAGGUAUAUUCCUCCGUAAAUUUAUAUCUUAUAUUACAUGAAAGUCACCAUAAUAUUAAUUAGACAAAAAGUUACAGCUAAAUGAGACUCAUUCGCGAGAACCAGGCUCACUAUUUAAGACUGAUAUUUCAUUAUCCCAUACAGAUAACGGGUGACACUAGCUAAAUUGUAACCCCAAGAAGUCUUCAAUAAAACAUAUGCUACACUAUACAACCAGAAGAAAAAAAUAUGCAAAACAGACCUGUUUAGAUCUUGUCUUGCGUCUCUUCUGAUUCAAACGAAGUUGAAGAUCAAUAUUUAUAUCAUCCUCCUCUCUGGCCUGUUGGUGAUUUAAUGUGGUAUUAAGAAUAAAUAUUUCAUGGUAAACUCUGUAGAAGCAGGAAUAUAAAGAAGCCGCCAGAAAAGGUAACACUUUCAAAACUAUAAUGCUUAUAUUUCACAGAAAACAAAAGAAGUAGAGUCAAAAGAUAAUUACUCUUGUAUAGUUUUUCUUUUGUUCUUCAGUUUGGGCAAGCACUCUUUCGUUUUCCAUUGCAUCGGCAAAAAAAGUACCUUCCAAGUCUGCAUCAAUCUCUUCAAUUUCCUCCACCUGAAAAAAAAAAUACUGUGAUAAUCAUUCUUGUAUGGCUAUGAUAUAGGAUUAGCAAGCCCGAUAUUUUAAAAUCUCCAACUUUGCUAAAGCUAGCUUGAGAAGGAACAUGAGAUCUUCAAAGAUAACUUGCCUCCCAAGGUUGUAAAUAAUGCCUUGUAUCAUAUGAAUGAACUUGGCUUAAUGCUUUUUCCUGAUUAUUAUUUCACAUCAACUUGACUUAUAUACUCUUUUUAUCUUAAUCUUAAUCUUAAUAAAAACCUACAUUUUAGUGUGAGUUAUGUUUCCUAUUCUGAUCAGGCUACAACAAUGGACCAAAAAUUUACUAAUUUGCAAGCAUAAACUAAAAAAGGAAAAAAAAAGGCAUGCAUGCAUAAAAUGUAUUAUUGGCAGGUAGGUGAUAAAAUUUAACCUCAUUGACUCCUGGAAACUCUAAUCCCAUGGCUGCAGCUUGUUGUGGAGUGCUUGCCGAGUAAACAGAAGCCCAAUUCUUACUACCAAAGGAGACCGCCUCAUCCUUUUUUUCCGUAAAAACUUUGUUGAGAGAUGACCAGUCAAGUUCAGAUGGUCCAGCUUGAGAUUCUUUAACACCAUCAUCAGCAAACUUUUUCUCCAGAAACCCACUAGCUCCCUCCUCCAAAAGUUCCCCAUGUCGUCUACACCAAAAUAUAUUUAGAUAUAUACCAUCCAGUUGCAUUACUAAAAGUUGAAGAUAAACAAAAACAAAACCUACUUUCGGACAGGACGGUGAGUCUGAAGAAAACUCUCUGCGUUUGCCAAUGAUUCCACGGUUUCUUCUGUUACCUGAGUCCCAACCCAGUGGGCUCUUUUUUUCCAAGCUUCUGUGUAGAGACGACUAGGGACUUGACUUUCAAUCAUUUUGUACAACUUUGGAAGUUCAACUCCAGCACCUGAUAGUUGUUCCUGUGAGAAAGAAAAAAGGAGAAAAUAAAUUUGUAAGUUCCUUUUUAAAAAAAAAAAAACAAUCUGUAAGUUCUUUUUGAAUGAUAAAUAAAACUUAGUGUUAAAUUUGGUGAAAAAAAUAGAGGAACCAUACCAACAAGUUUGCACUUUUAAUUUCAAGAUUAUCAAGAGUUUCCUCCCUUACGUCUUUAAAAGUCAUCAUUUCAGCUGAUACAGAUUUAUCCAGCUAAAAACAUGCACGUUCAAAGAUGUUAAUUAGAAGAGAACAAAGGAACUUGAAGAGCCUAUGAUGAUAAUAAAAAUAAAAAAAGAUAAGUUAACCUCAACACCACGGAGUGUGCGUGCUAGUUUCUCCCUAACUUCACCCUCUACUUUAGCAAGAGACUCCUCUUCAAUUGCUUUUUGAGCUUCUGCCGCCUGAAGACCAAUCAUUGAGAGUGAGUUUAAGAGCUGGAGACUAAAAUUGGCAUAUCAAGAUCUCCAGCAAAAGGAAGAGAUUAAUAUAUACCUUACUCUCUACUCCCACAAGCUCUGAAAUCAACUCGUCUAUCUCUUCCUCGCUCAGAGGUUUCUGCAUGAUAAUAGACUAAUAAUUGAGAGUUAUAUUAGAUCAUGCUGCCACUACAACGACAACAAAAAUGAGCAAGAGAUAUCAAUGUUGCUAACCUCAAGAUCCGACUCAUCAUCAUGUCCCAUCAGCAAUUGUUCUUCAUCAUCAGAAAGAGAAACACAACUUUCAGAUCUUGUAUCAACAGCUUGCAUCUCCUCAUCUUGAUUGUUGUUUUCUUCCAUCUGUUGGCCAUCUUGCAUCUCCAUUAUGCUUUCGUUUAUAUUCUCAUUCUCCUUUGCCUCCAUUGGAUCAUCGUUGUCAUCUCUUGCAUCCAUCUCUAGGAGUUUUCCCUUCACUUCCUACUGAAAAACCAUUGAUAACCAAAACAGUCAGUUACAAGUUUAAAUAAUUGGUCCACGGGUAGAAGCUAACAAGUACAUGUGUGCAUAAACCGUAUCAGGCAUUUAUUUGUAAAGAGGAUAUCAUUGAAUUCUAGUUGAAAAAUCAAACAUGCAACCCUAAAAGCUUAAUAUAAAUUCAUCUCAUUCUCCUAACACUCCAAGUUUGAAAAUUACAACGACGAACCGCAUGGAAAGGUAUUGAUUAAAUUUUGGGAUAAGGUCUGAUCAUUUUAUGACUUCUCAUCAACCACACAUAGAGAAUAUCAAACACUCCUUAAGAUCUAUGAACCACUCCAUGACAAAAAAAAAAAAAGAGGGCGAUAAGGUUAAGGCUAAGGAGAAGAAGAGAGGCUUUACCAAAAGUGAGAGAGUCCUGGUGCAACUCUAGUGCAGAGAAACAAGAGUGAUCACUGAGAAUUUAGUUUAGUCUAUUGAGAUGUGUGGAGAUUGUUUUUGUCUUAGAUGUUUAAAAGUUGAUUUUUAGGACAGGAAGAGGCGUGACUGGUUUGAUAAAAUAUCAAAUUACAGCUUCUUUCUUUUAUUUAUUUCCUUUUUUUUCAUUCAGCAAAGGUCAAAGAUACUAUAUGAGCAUAUUGGGUAUUCUUCCAUACCAAAUUGAACCAGAGAAUGUAGUCAACGUUGUUUAUGGUAGAAAUGAGAAAGUUAAGCUACUUUACCACACAUCUAGUGGUCUUCUGCCACGAAAUUAAUUUUACUAUAAUUUGAUUAAACAAAAACAAAUUGGCUAAUUUUAUCCAAAAAAUAUCUAACUAAAAAUCAGAGUCAUCUAAAUACUAUCUCCAGUUUAUUGACUGAAAUCUAUUCAAAAAAAAAAUUGGUAGUUUAGUUUGGAUCCAAUUUAUGUCAUAUUCAUUUUCUUAUAAAAUGCAUAGCUUUUUAUCAAUCUUUCGAAAUAUAGUCCAGUGCUUUUAAUUUCUUCUAGAAAAAUCAACCUUAUAUAACUUUUAAACUAAAGUGGUCUUUUUCUUUUAAAAUUUCGAAAGCUUUUGUUGACGUUUUUUAUCUCGUAAAAAUGUUUUUUAUUUACAACUUAAAAUGGAUUAACCUUUGAGCAAGGGGGUCCUCACUAGGCUAUCUAUGUCGACGGAUUGACACGUGGCAGUCGUAGGAUAACCCAAACAUGUGGGCUUGGUUCAACAAUAAAAGAUUUUUAGAGAAGGCCCAAAUAAAAGACAAGGCAAAAAAGCCCAAUACAAUAGUGGAUUUAGGGUUUUAUUAGGAAGAGAACUUGUAUUAGAGUUUUCAAGUGGGGGGAGGCGAGAAGGUUGUUAAGAUCAAUGGCGAAGUACAAUGAGAUAGCGAAGAAGAAGAGAGAGGCGAAAGCGGAUAGGAAGCGAGCUAUCCACGGCGAUCCACUCACCAAUAAAUUGAAGACCAGAGCUCCCGUUGUCGCCGUCUCCGGUAAACGUCAGAAGAAACUCCUUCGCAAAUGGCGCAGAGUAAGAAUCUACAAAGCCUUAAUUGCCACUAGUUAGUUUUUUUCAAAUUGAGUAGAAAGUGUUACUAAUAAUAAUUGUCGUUGGUUGGUAACAGGAGCAGAAAGAGAUGGUGGAGAAGGGUCUUGUUACUAUGGACGAUGUAGAGAUGGCUUCUGCUGAAGGUUUCAACUUGAAAUCUGAAACUUCUUGCUUGGUUGUCAAGGCUUUGUUUGCAUUUUCUUUGAUAUUGUAACUUCUUUUGUUUUUCAUUAUUGAUUAAAUGAAACUUGCUUUUCUUAUCUCUUGUCUCAGCUGGAUCAGAAGACUCCAAGAAACCCACAAGAAAAUUUAGCGUGAAGAAGACAAUAAAGCUCAAUAAACUAAAGAAUAAAGGUAAACAUUGAGUUUGCAGGCUCUCUUAUAUCUCAUUUGAUCUCAAUGCGUAUUGUUUACUUGAUGCAAUGUAUCUGAUCAUGGAAGUAACAAAUAUGUUACUUGUAAAGCAGGCAACAAGAAGAAAAGCCAGAGAGCUGGUGGCAAAGUAUCUACUGAUCAGAUGCUGGAAUGAUCAGACUUGGAGUGUUUUCUUGUUACCUUUUCGAAUCCUAUAGUUUUUCUACUGCUAAGUUUUUUUUUUCUAAUAUGUUGUCGUUUACAAAGAUCUCAUUUUGUAUUAUGGCUCGGAUGCUGAUUCAAGUGUGCAUCAUAUCAAAUUUGCAAUAUCACUAUUUCAGUCUGCCGAUUCAAUUACAUCUCCCUGUGGCAAAAUCUGUUCAACGUUUGCCUAUGACUACUUUCAUAAAUUAUACAGAAGAAUGCUAAACUAACGAAUGUAAAUUAAAAUCAUAUGAUUUGAAAACUUUAAAAGCUUCAUAAAUGACCUUUAAAACAUUAUAUAAAAUACCAAAUCCAUAGAGUGACAUUUGCAACAUAAUUUUCACUGGAUGUUUUUACUUACAUAGAAAUACCUUAAAGCAGUUAAAAAAAACAAGCCAAAGAAACAAAGCAUCCUAAUGAAGCAGAUUGAAGUAGAAAGCUUCAACUGUGUGCACACGACCUUCCACUCUCAAUCCCAUAAGAACUGAGCAAAACUCGAGAACCAUAGGAACUGGUCUUGCUCUAGGAAAACCACAUGAAACCGGUUUUGCUCAGGGGAACCCGAAAAAAAACUAAACCCCCACUAAACCGGCUGCUCCAAGAACUUACAACUUUAGGUACUGCAACAUAUAUAUCCAGUUGCUAGUACUACCAUCACCCAAACUGUACAGAGAAAUGUUUAUUCUUUCACAGAGAACCAUAUCUCAUCUCCCUGAGGAGACCAAUGUCUUUCCAUCAUUGGCCUUCAUCGAUGGAUGAGCAACAGGGAGACCAGGGUUUGAAACGGGGACGGGAGCUGCCUCUUCCUCAACUGGUACAUCCUUCGGUGUGUAACUAAAGUUGAGUUCUUUGUUGGCUGCAAGUGCCACAAGCUCCUUCUCUUCAAGCCCUUUGGUCGGUCCAAGGCUGCACCUAUCCGGAGUAUGCUUCGCCAAUGCAUCUCUGAACUUCUUUAUCUGAAGAAGACAUCAAAAAUCAAAAUCAAACUCGUAAGAUGAUUUUGAUUACAUGUGGAGAUGAUGAGACACGUUACCGUAGCAUUGGUGCAGCUGAAGCUGCAGACACGACCAUGAGCGCCACGGUAGAAUCUGAAAAACGGAAGGACGUGGACACCGAGACUGUAACACAUGGACUUGUGCUCCUCGUAGUUCACCUGAAGAAACUGCACAUCAGGGUUCUGCUCUGCCAACUGACAUAUCUACAACAAUCACAAACCAUAACGAUUAGAACAAAUUAAUAUCUUUUCUUGAAUCUAACAAGUAUUAUACCUUAGGAUGAAGAGCCUUGCAUCCACCACAGCCAGGAGAAAAGAAGUCAACCACAACGAGCUUAUCACCAGCGUUGGUUAGAGAGUCAACGAGCUCCUGAGCUGAAGAGAUCUCUCUCAUGUUCUCUUUCAAACCCUUCUCCCACCAUCUCUGAGGCGUCCCAAUCCUCAACGCUGUCUGCAUACAAUAUAAAGAUCACUUUUUUAACAGAUCCGAAAACCCUAAAAGGCUAAAAAGGUAUAAUCUUUAGUAUCGAUUUCAUCUAAAUUAGAUCUCUCGCAUGUGUAUACCUGAGCUGUGAUGGAUGAUGAUGAUCGGGAGCUCUGGAAUUGAUUAAAAGGCUUCACCUUCAGAGAAGGGAAGCUCUUUCUCAGACCGAAACUCACAGGUGAUGAGACAGAGUAAUCAUCUACAUGCUUGUGUUGAUUCACGCAAGCUCCUCGGAAGAUCAGAUUCGUUCUGCUGAUUGCUGCUUCCGCCAUUAGAAGGAAAAGUAAUCAAAUUUAGAACGAGAAGAGACUUAAGAAGAUAGAAGAAAAGCAACUCUUUCUCUCUCACGGAGACAACGUGUCUUCUCAGCAAUCUUUAGUCGCCACCCAAGUUUCGUUUUUUUUUUCUCUCUUGCACGAGAAAAUUUAUAAGGAAAAAUGAAAAAGGAAAGAGUUUUCUUCUGGAGGAGAAGAGAUAGCUGUUUGUUCUCUCGUUAGGAGAUCUGGACCGUUCGAUUUGGAUUUGAAAAGUUUUUUAGAUCUGACGGUUGGUUUUGUGAUAAUGAGUUGGAGUCGGUCAGAGAUAAAAAAAACUGAUUAUGGAUAAGGUUCACGAGUUUUCGCGGAUGUUUUUUUUUUUUUUUUUUUUUUUUUUUUUUUUUUUUGGUAAAAUGUUAAGCUUACCAUUUUCUGAAAAGAGUUACACUGUUGUUGUUGAACAACUUAUUACAACGGGAACAGAGGAAGAAAGAAACGAAACAGCUGAAAUUGAGAAACAGAGAACUUAAAGAACUUAAAACAGUAAAACAGUAGAGAAAACUAAGGCGGAAACAGUGACCGAGAGGUUACACUGUUGUUUUCGCGGAUGUUAUUAAGCAAAAUUAUCUAAUCUUGGAAUCGGAUUAUGUUUUCUUUUUUUUUAACCGUGUUUUAGUGUGAAAAUAUUUUUUUGAAAAUGAGCUGAUGAGUUAGUAUACACUUAUUCAUUUUCAUUACAAAAGAUUAGAUUCAGCAUUUGCAUAUCUUCAUUUGCUUUGCAUGGAUUAAAUUAACUCAUUGACUAAUUAAUCUGAUGGAAUUACAAAAAAAGAUGAAAUUAAAAUUUUAAAUUAAUCAAUUAAAUUAUGUGAUGUUCCAUCUCUAGAACGAAUGGUAGAGAAAUAAAAAAGGUUAUAGGCCUCGUGAAUAUUUGUGUUGUAUGUGAAAUGAGUAUAUUUUUUGAAGAAAAUGUGUGAAAUGAGUGUAUAAACGACAAUUAGCGUAAACGACAUUUAAUAGAAAAGUAAUGGUUCAUAUUUGGAUUUGGAAUUUAAGGAAGCAAGUUAGCCAACGCAUCAACCACGUGGGGUCUCACUGCCUCCACCACCUUUAAAUCUCUUUUUUCUUUAGUUCUAAUCUAAAUAUUGCAUGAAAGGAACUUGUAUAACCCUACACUCACGACGAUGGUCAGUACGUUACAAGAGAGAUAUUUAAUCGUAGCUAAAUAACAAAGUCCGAGUGUAGAGAAACAAAAACUUGACGUGGAUCAAAACAUAACAACAAUGACCGUGAUUAUUAGUGUUAAUGCACAGCAUAGAUUAAAAAGAUAUAGCUAGUUAUCACUGUAGUUGAAUAAUGAGUAAUAUGUUGCGAUUUUAGUAGUUUGGCAAAAUGAAAAGAUGUAAGAAGAAGUAAAUGUAUAAUAGUUGCACGAAAAAAAAAAAAAAAAACUAUGCCAUAUGUUGUCCAACACGAACAGCAAAAUACAAGAGCCACAAUUUUGUGAAAGGUGACAAAAUGCAGCUACCUAUUCUUUCUUUCAUUUUUAUUUUGUGUCCAACAUUUCUACCAUGUUUUUUCUAUUUCAAGUAAAAAUGUAUAUUUUUGUACUUCACAUGAAAAGUUGCAUCAAUAUCAUCAGGUCGGCCGAAGCGCUAAUAAUAUCAAUAUUACAAUUAAUCUCUGAAUUAUCAGUCGGCCAAAUUAAUAUCGUAGUUGGUUCUUGAUUUGCUUUGAACAAACGUCAAUUAAACUAAAAAAAACAAAGAAACUUAAAAGAACAAAACACCAUUUGAAACAAAUAUUUAUUUAAUGGUGUUAUAUACUGAUUAUGUGAAUGAAUAAUUUAUUUUUUAUACUCGUGUUUAUACUAUCUCAAUAUUUAGCCACUACCAUCAUCACUUGUGAUUCCAGAGACGGGGUGAAGAGAAACAAUGUGUAGCUACUGCCAUAAUCUAAAAUUCCCGAGGCAACACCUGAGAACAUAGAAAAAUGAAAACUACUAUACUUUUUAUCCUAUUAUGAAACAAUGAAAGUGACUAGACCAUUGCUCGUAUUACAUGAUGUCAUUAAUACUGAAAGAUGUGAAAGAAGAACUACCCGAGAGAUAGAAAGAGAUGAUUGUUACCAAAAUUGUGACAAAAAAAAAAAGAUUGUUACCAAACACUUUUAAAGUGCAAAUAAGUUGUUCGUUUUUAGUUCUUUGUCUUUAGGAAAAUGUGACUUCUAUAUUAAUGCAGAUAAGUUCUCACCGGCUUUGUAAAUCAAAGUUGCAUCUGGUCGCCACAAAAAUAGUAAAUGCUAAGAAAAUAAUUACUGCUUGUAUAACGAAGUAUACUCAACUAAGUAUUGCUGCAAAUGGUUGUUUCUCUUCUUGUUCUUGAGUUUCCUGAAAGCAGAGGACUCUGUCUGCCUCAUUCUUUCCCGGCUCACACCCAUCGUCUCACCAAUCUCUCGCAACGUCUUCAUCCUCCCAUCCUCCAUCCCAAAUCUCCAAAGUAUCACCUGCUUCUCCCUGGGCU